rnacentral:lncRNA from 1 species
CAUAUAAUUUGAUUAAAUAAUUACUUAUAUGCCUUCAAAACUUCUCAAAUAUUUUAUACAUACACAUUUUUUUCAAAUAUAUACCUUAUAUAUUUUUUCAUUAUUCAAAAAUAACUCCGCUAUUAGUACUUAUUAAGACAUAGUUUGAUAUUGAGUUCUAUCUAACGCUAUUAAAUAAAAUGGAAUUAAAAAAAAACAUACAUAUAGGGAUAUACUUCUGCGUUCUCCGGUGGGACCGCAGAAAAUAUAUCGUAACCAACUCAUCGCAAUAUGCGGAACACAAUAUUACGUACGAAAACAAACAGGGUAUUUUUCCAAUGUACUUUCUCACCGCACGUAACAUGAUCCUAAACGAAGCCUAAGUCAUCUUUGAUCAAACUCAGAUUAAAUUUUCAUCAAAAUUAAAAAAAUUUAAAACACCUAUUUUGCCCCUAAUUUAAGAACAAAUAAAAAAAACUGAUAGCAACAGAAGAGAUAUAUAUGAAAACAUAAAAAGUCAAAAUACUUUUUUGUUCCUAACUUAAGACCAAAUAAAAAAAUUUGGUGACGAUAGAAGAGUAUGUUUGAAGGAAAAAAAAAAUAGUAAUAUCACAGAGAUAACGAUAGUUUUUAAUAAUUCACUAAUAGAAUUUAACUCUGUGAGUAUAUAUGAAAUAAUUUAGAAUGUUAAAAAAAUAUUUUAAUAUUAACCUUCUAACAAGAUAAAGAGAAAAGUUAGGAACUUUUGAGGGACAUAUAAGUAAUUGCACUUUUGGUUUACUUGAUUUAUUAUACUACAACCUCUCUCUCUCUCUCUCUCUCUCUCUCUCUCUAUAUAUAUAUAUAUAUAUAUAUAUAUAAAAUAGAGUGAGGCUACUAUGCUUCUGGUAGCAUAGAGCCUUCCUACUUUCAUAUCGUUUUUCAUGUUGCGACUUUCGAAUCGUCGAUCGGCUCCGUUGAACUUGAUCUAGAGUGUUUAAAGUAUCUAGAAAAUAAAUUUUGUAAUUUUUCGAUAUUAUUUGUCUAGUGAACUAAGGGGCUCAAAAUCAACAGCUGAAAAUAAAAAUCUUACAAAACGUGAUAAUAUGACAUUAAAAUUUUAGAUCAAAGAUAUUUAUCUUGUUUUAUAUAGUAUAAAGAAUUUUCUAUCAAAAUUUCACGUGAUUUGGAUAUUUCUACACCGUUAAACUUGCAAACGGCUCACCACGGCCUUUAAAAUUAUUAAUUUUGAACCCCUUCGAUCACUAGGCAAAUGAUAUCGAAAAAUCAUAAAAUUUAUUUUCCAAGUACUUCAAAUACUUUAGAUUAAGUUUAACGGAUCCGAUCGACGAUUUGAAAGUCACAACAUCGAAAACGAUCUGGAAGCACGGAAGGUUCUGUGCUUCUAGAAGCAUAGUAGCUUCACUCUAUAUAACAUGCAUUAAAGGGGUCAAACAUUAAUUGUAUACAGACGAUGUUACAUAAUUUGUAAAAUGUAUUUCUAUGUAUAUAUGUCUACGUGCACUUAUUGAUUCAAACACGAGAGUGAUCGAUCAAUAAUAAGUGUCAUGCAUUCAAAGUCAAAAUUGGUGUCGUAAUUACUUUUGAGCAUUUACUUCAAAAAAAAAACAAAAAAGUCAUGCUGAACAUGUCUUUCUCAACUUUUAUGUGUGUAAAUAAUUAUAUAUAUACACAAAAACAAACCAAAAGAUUAGAUUCGUGAUUAACUAAAACACUUCUUAUAUUAAGCUACGCGAUCACGCUUAAUUAGAAAUAUUAAUUCAAAGAUCAUGUGCUAGCUCAAGGGAAAAAACCAAUAGAAGUUUAGUAAUAGCUUAAUUACGCCGUGCGGCCGUUAUAGCUAAUUAUGUUUAAUUUAGUGGCCUAUAAAUGGAGUGUUUUUAGAAGCAUGGUGUUCUCCGUUCUAAUGGGGCAUCUGAAUCGACCAUUCAUAUGCUCGAUCCAUUAGCAAAAAAUAAUACAAAAGUAAAUAACUUCGCUAACGUUUGAGAGUAACUCUAACCUAUCUCUUAAUUCAUUGGAUACAUUAAAUUUGGUGAAGAUGUGUCUCCCAAAAAAUUAAUUAAAGCACUAAUAGGCUUAUUAGCUAAUUAAGUAGGAUUCAACAUGAAGUUAUUAAAGUGCUAGCUAGGGUUUGAUUGGUUUAGUAGGAGAACCUUCAAAAGAUGCAUUAACAAUAUUCUAUUAGAAUCGUAUCUUAAGUAGUAGAUUUUUUUUAUUAAAUUGUGGUGUUUACAAUUAAAUCUUAUGCUUUUAGUAAAGUUAAAUGUCAUUGUGCUCCAAUACCUCUAAACUUAUUACUAUUCACUUACUUUUAUCUUUUAUAGUGUGGUUAGGUCGAAUAAUAAUAGAUCCAAGUGUAAAAAAUUAAAAGUAUGUGAAUAGUAAUACUUUUACAUGUAUUCGAGCUCAGCACAAGUUAAAUGCUAGCUUAUUUUAUUAUUCUAUUAUUAUUAAAGUGUCGGAUUUUUUUAUAUAUAUAAUUUCGAGUGCCUGUGUUUUAGUUGUUAAAGUUGCUUUUCUUGUCUUUGUCCUUUUAAGUCAAUUUUUUGGAUAAAUAGGAUUAGAGCUAAUUUUUACGACGUUUAUUCUGUAAUAGGUUAUGAGUAUAAUCCUCAUCUUUAAUAUUUAACAAGUAAAAUUUUUAUAUUAUAUUAAAUGAGUUAAAUCUCUAUUUUUUAUGUUAUCUAUCGAAAUCACGUGUCUUUCAUAUUAUGCUAGUGAGCGGAGGUAUAAAAUAUAUAUUUUUGGACUCAUUGACAGCUAACUUUAUAAAUAGUAAUUAUGUGUCGCAUUAUAUAAUCUUUUUAUCUUUUUAAUAAAUUACGCAGAAAAUCACCCUUCUUCUUGUAGGCCAAAAAAGAGAAAAGGAAAAGAAAAGGAGAGGUUGGCUAAAAAGGUGGAGAAAGGUUCAAAGCUAAGAUUAAUGAUAAAAUAAUAAACUUAGCUUUGUUCCAAUGAGGUGGAAAACCAUGAAAAAAAACAAAAGCAAGUUAAAUAUUUGAUCUCACACUCUCUAAUGGGUUUAGGUUUGCAGAUAAAAAAAAUCUAUAAAACAGAAAAAAAAAAAAAAAAAAAAAAAAAAAACUUUCUAGUUAAAAUUUGUUAAAAAAAUUUAAAAAAAUUGAAGAAUAAAAAAAAUUUUUUUUUUUGCCAGAAAACUAUUUUCUAAAACUCUCUCUGCGAAUCCAACACAAUGAGGAGGAUAAAGUGGGAGAAUUAUUUGAUGGUAACACCCUUAACCUUUCUCAACAUAUUUCAAACCUACCAUUCUUUUGGUUUCCCAUUUCCCUUAUCUUCAAGAAAAGUGAAAAAGGAGGCCACACUUUGGAUUCAUUAAAAAAAAAUAAAUAAGUAAAAAAGGAAAAAGUGGGCCUAAAAGAGACUCUCAAAAGUCAGUGUAUCAACAUUGGGAAUUCCAAGAUUUGCCAAUUAAUUAAUCAAUCAAUCAAUCAAUUAAUCAAUUAAUUAAUUAAUCCCCCUUGAUUAAAUGGGGGUUUGUGUGGGGGUGUGAUGAACCCUAUAAAGGGCAAAAGUGAGGAAGGGAUUACUUUUCACACAAGUCCCUACCUUUUAAAACCGUUGCAAAAGAGCCACUAACUUAGCACCAGAAAUUAAUGUUUCAGAAACAUACACGUUCUUUCAUUCUAAUUCUGUAUGCGUAUCAAAAUUAAAGAACAAAUCACACUAAGUAAUUAAUUAAAAACAAAAAAUUAUACUUUUUUAAAGAAAAAAUUAGAACUCAGAAAGAGACUUGUGUGUCUAAACCGGCGGAAAAGUUAGGAGCACUUUUAAAGAUAUCUUAAAAUUGAGGGAGUUGUAAUAAAAAUUACCAUAAAUAAGGAGUACCAUGAUGAUGGUUCUAAUUAUAUUUUAAUGCAAGGGCAUCAUUCCAAAAGAUUACUUUUGAUUGAGCCACAAAAGGCAGCAACAUGCCUGCAAAUUUGCCAUUUCCAACCUAACCUACUCCUACUUCCCCUCAACCAAAGAUUUUAUUAUAAUAAUUGCUAUAAUUGUAGCAUAUAAUAUAUAUAUAUAUAUAUCCUUUUCUUUAAUAAUAAUAUAUAUAAGUGAAAAGAAAAAGGAAAGAUUCCCCUUUUAGAUAGUUAUUGUAUGUUGAAAAGACACCAAUAGAUUAGUAGCAGUAGUAGUAGUAGUGUGUGGGGAGUGCUUUUUAAUUGUUUUUUUGUUGGAGGAUUCCUUCAUAAAUGAAGUCCCAUAAUGUGUUGACACUUUUAUUAAAGUAGGCCAAAUAAGAAUAAUAGCAUUUGUUAGAUAACUUGUGUAGACAACAAGAGAGAGUUUGCGUUGGGGGGGUGGGGGAAGGCCAAAGCCAAUUAACCAACUUUUUCUUGUGGGAUAUGUAAUCUACAAAUUUGUAAAAAAUAUUUACAGAUGAAACACAUCUUAAAUAUUAAUUUGACUUACGUAUUACAGAUAUUUCUAUAAGACUCGCCGUAUUUAUGUUGCACAUGCCAUGAAUGCGCAUCCGUUGCAGGUCUAUAGCAUAUUUCAUUAAAAAAUAUACAUUCUUUUAUUUUACUACUUUUAUGCAUGUACGAAGAUAAAUAUAUUUGACUUUUUGAAAAACACAUACAAAUUUUUUUUUGAAUAAUAUAAAUUAAUUAUAUAUGAUGGAGGAUUUUUAAUAUUUUAGCAAAAUUAACAUUUUACAUUAUUAAUAAACAUAUAUUUUUAUAUUAAUAUUAUACUUUAGUAAUUGUGUUCAUGUCGUGUCCGUAUUAUAAUUUUUUACAAGUUAUCGAGUCGUCGUGUCUUAGUCAUGUCACAUUCCGUGUCCUUGCGUUUUAUAUAAGAGUAUUUAUUUUGUAACACAGAGGAGUUUUCUAUACACUGAAUCUACAGAGAGUUUGUAUUUCGAUCGCAUGCUGAUUUUCUUUUGGAUUGCUUUUCCAAAUAGAAUUGCUAACUUUGAGUGCAACAUAUUUGCUGAUGUGUUGCAAAAAAGAAUCAAGCAUCAUAUGAUGCAUUUAAAACAUGCCAAAAAUGAAAAAAAAAAAAGGUCAUUAUUUACAGUAUAGAUUAAAAAGGUGUCAACAUAGAUAAUAAAUUUAUAGGCAAAAAUAUUUACAUAGGACUAGCUCUGCUACUAUAUUAUUCAAAAGAAUAAUUUGACAAAAUAUAAUUUAAAAUUAAUCUUAACACUACCUAUGUUGAUUUCACCUUCAGGUAAAUAAAAAUAAAAGAAAAUUCUCUCUCCUCUCAAAAAGUAGUAAAAGAUUAUCGCUAAAAAUCUGAACUAAAAUCGAAACCAAAUAAUUUUAAAAAUCACAAUCAAAUCGAAACCGUCAAAAAAUUUUAAAUCCUCACAAUUCAUUCAUUAUUUGAUAAGUUCUACCGGAAAAUUAAGACUAAUUGAUUGAACACCUUAUAAUUGAAUCCGUUCCAUCCGAUUUCAAUUAAAAUCGUCAUGUCCUUUAACUAUUAAACACGCAACAUAAAAACACCAUUUUUUUUUUAGAAAAAAAGUUGUUUAAGUUUUUUGAAGUGAUUGACCGUUUUACUUAAUAUUAAAUCAGAAGAUCCUAAAUUUGAAUCGAGCAAACGUUCCCACGUCGUGUUAUAUAAAACUUAGCCAACAUAUCUAAAACACACAAGUAAAUAUAUAUUUAUUUAUUUAUAUAUUUUCUUUUCUACCUGAGAAAAGUAAAAUCCAUUGUCUCACCUAACUACUUUCAUAUUGCCUAACUUAAUUGGUUUAUAAUAAUAAUAAUAAUAAUAAUAAUAAUUUGAUGUGAUGUGGACAUCACAUAGAAAACUCUCCUGUCUAUGUCAAUUUCUAAUCUAAUGUAGUGGUAUUUUUUGGACUUAACUAAAAUUACAUCACUCUAUCAAUUAUAUUAUGUUUGGAUAAUUAUUAUUUUAAUCAUAUGUGAAAGGAUAAUCCUUCUAAUUAAUCUUACCAAUUUUAUCCAGCCAACAAUGUAUAAAGAUCCGCAAACUUUAGCAAUUUUACAAACAGAUCAGUACCGAAUUAUUAUAUUUUAGUGAUUAGAUUGGACCCUUCUGAACUUCAUCACAUAAAUCAAUAAAUCUUUCUCCUCGAGCGAGAUUACUGGUUUUACCGUUGUUUUGAUUGCAUAUCUUAUAUAUAAUUUUAUAUUUCUUCAAAAAAAAAAAAAAAUCUAUUUUUUCCUUUCCUAGUUAUGAUGAUAAUUAAUUACUAGUUUCUAGUAGACAUUUUACAGUACUUUUUAUUUUUUUUUAGCCCUUCUAUAAUUUAGAGUAAAAAUGAGAAAGUUUUCAAUUAGCCUUUUUAUUAUUUAGGGUGUGCUUGAUUUGAUGUAAAAGUGGGUGAGAAAAAAUAAUAAGUGGAAAAACGGUUUGCGGCUCGUUUGUUUCGACCUAAAAAAAUUUUACGCGAAAAAUAGUUUUACGUAGUUGGGGGAAAAUUUUCUCUUUCGUUUUCUGCGCGAGAACGGCGGAAAAUGAAAACGCGGCUCAUGGCGUUUUCACGUAGUCCUCUCAUGUACUGCAUAAGAAGGAGGUCCAUUCAUUUUAUAUAUAUAAUUUUAUUUAUAAUUUUAUCUAUAAAUAUUUAUUUAUUUAUUAUAUAUAUAGUAUUUUAUUUUUAUAUAGAAAUAUUAUUAUAUAAUAUUUUAUUUAUAAAUUUAUAAUUAUUUAUUAAUAUUCCUAAAUAUAUAACUCUGGUAUAUUAUGUAAUAUAUUUAUUAUAAUUUUAAAUAUAUUUAAUCUAUAUAUAAAAAUUAUAAGAAUAAUAUAUAUAACAUAUUAAUUAUUAUAUAUUAAUAAUAUAAAUAAUAAAAAAUAUAUUAAAUAAUUUGUCAUCUAUUUUUUUUUUCUACAAACCAAACACUAAACAACGUAAAAUCGUUUUUCCACCGAAAAUUUUUUCCCACUGAAAUUUUUACGUGGAACCAAACACUCCCUUAACGCAUCUUCACUAUACAUAUCAUCUUAUGAUUUGACCAGUAUCAUUUUACUAUUUUAGGAUUUUACUUUAUUUUUUAUUGUAAAAAUCUAUAUAAUAGUAAAAUAAUAAAACACAAAAAUCAAAUGAUAAUAGAUUAAUGAAAAUCAUAGGCUACAAGCAUAUUGCAUUUUACCAUGAUAUAUGUAGUUGUUGUAUCAUUUUGCCACAUAUAUAUUUAACGACAGGUCAUUAAGGUAUAAAAUGAAAAGUAUUAGAAAAUAAUAAUUCAACACUUUUACAAACUACAAGGAUGGCAAAAUAAAAUUACGCUAAACACAAUAGCGUAAUUAAAUUAUUUUCAAAUGAGAAAAAAUAAUCACAUCCUAAUUAAGGUGAUGCAACGGAAAAGGCAAAUAAGAUGGUUUUUUUUUUUUUUGCAUUUAGCCUCUUAAUUUUUUUUUUCAUAAGUAGCUCUAUCAAAUUUAUAAUUACAAUUUUGGUUUUAUUUCCACAAGCUGGCUGGGGAGGGGCGUUAAGUUGAAUACGGUGAAUCAUUCACCGUGUUCAAAUACGAUGAUGGUUCAUCGUGUUCUAUACUUAUAUUCUUUUUUUUAAUAUUUAUAUUUUUUUCGCAAUACAUAUAUUUUUCUUAGAUACGAUGAAUCAUUUACCGUGUUUAGACACAGUAAAUGAAUUACCGUAUUCAAUUUAUUUACUCGCAUGACGCUUACGUGGCGCCUGCAUGAUGGGAAUAGGGCUAUAAUUACAAUUAUAAAUUUGAUGAGAUUAUUUAUGAAAAUAAUUUUUUUGAGGGGGCCAAAUUCAAAAAAAAAUCCUUUUUUUUCUUUUUCCUAUGUUAACUUUUGGUGCACCAACAAGGAAAUUAAUAAGUGUAUUAAUUAUUUCGAAAGGAGAAAAGUGUGUAUUAAUUUAGUGGUCCAAACCCAUAGAUUGUUACACACUCCACUAAUUAAAAAAAUAAUGUGAAAUUAAUAAAAAACAAAAAAAAAAAGAAAGGUGGGGAAAAGAGUAGUAGUAGGCGAGACCAACGUGUAAAGUAACGAAAAAAAAAGAAAAAAAAGUGCGAAUGUUAAAGCAAGAGGCCACUUUUUUCACACUUUUUUAAAGUGCUUCCUAAAAACAAACUUAUGAAACUCCCUUGCCACUGAACCGGGAACAAGUAAGGACCAUUUUGAGAAAACAAAAACAAAAAAAAAAGCGCAUUUAUUUCCCAACAUUUAGUGGUUUUCUCACUUUGGUCCUUAACCUUUGUAUUUUAUUUCAAUUAGGUCCUAACCCUAAAAAAAAAACAAUUUUGAGGGAUUUGGAGUUUGAAAUUACAAGAGUUUUUUUUUUUUAUCUUCAACUUAAGUUUAAGCUUUUGAGCAGGUUUAGGACACAUUAAAAUGGUAUAUAUCAGAGCUUAUUCUUAUCUUUUUCAAUUAUAUCUAGCCUAAAUUGUUGUAAUUUUGCUAUAUUUUGUGAAACAAUCACUGUACUUUAAAAGUUUAAACUGUUAGAGAACGAUAUUUAUAUAUUUUUAUAUUUAACACUCUCCCCCACGUCUGAACACAAGAUUUUUUUACAAGGCCCAUGACAUGGACUUGACUUAAAUGGGAAUGUUAGGAGUCUGGCAUGAUUAAUUUGAACUCAGGACCUCCUUCUCUGAUACUAUAUGAAAUAACCGAUGUACUCUAAAAGUUGAUAUCAUGUAAAACAACUGCUGUACUCUAAAAAUUUAAGUUGUUAAAGAACGAUAUUUAUAUAUUUCUAUAUUUAACAUAUUUUAGUCCAAUUUCGAUUAUAUACGGCCUCAAACCCAAUUUAGUUGACUGAAUAUUAACGCGUCACGGGUAUAAAUGUGAGACCCCAGAUAGUCCUAUAUAUGAGAUAUAAUAGGGCUAAACUCUUAACCCGGCUUAAGCAUUUUGGGUGGUGGCAAGGCUCAAGAGGUUAAGAGAGUUAAGCGUGCUAGAACGGAAGAAAUUGUAUUGAGUUGGGGCGUCACAAUAAAAGUGAUAUUACAUCUCUUAAUUAUUGUCCCAUAAUCAAUCACAAUAUUUGCUAUAUUACUUUCACAUUAGCGACGUAUUAAUAUUUAGUCAACUAAAUUAGUUGAAAGACUUGAGUAUAAUACUUCUGAAAGUUCAAAUUAGAAAGCAGAAUAAAUUAGAAUUUGAAGACUAAAAUAUCAUAAUCUUAUAAUUUGAGGACCAAACGUGCAAUUUAGCUCCGUAAUUUCAACUUUUUAGAUUGUCGCAAUCAAAUUAAUUUCACUGUCUAAUUAAUUUCGCAAAAUAGUGAUGUGUUGUAAAUAUUGUAAUGAUGCGACAGCGUUAGAGUUGAUAACUUGAGGAUAACUAAGACGUCAUAAAUUAUAGGGGCAAUUUCAUGGAUACCCCUCCCAAAAUUUAAAAUAUCAUAGAUGCCCCUAUAAAGUUUAAAAUAUCACCAAUACCCCUAUAAACACAAAAAAUUAUCAUUAAUACCCCUACUGUUAGUUAGGUUAGUUUUACUAUAGUUAUUACAUAGUUAAAGAUGGGUUAAUUUUUAAAAUGACUUAUUUACCCUCAAAUAUCUUUUAACUAAAAAUGUAUGGAAACCCCCUCAACUAUAUGCAUUUUGAAACAGCUCCCUCAACUUUCAUUUUUUAGUUGAUAUCCCAUUAACUUUUUAUUUAAAAAAAAAACCUAAUUUCAGUGUAUAAAAAAAAAAAAAUUUUUUAGUUUUUUUUGAUGAUUUUACCAAAUCUAAUGGCUCUAUUUAUUUUUUAUCAAAUAAAUAACUAUAUAUAAAAAUUUAAAUGAAAAUAAUGUUAAGGAAUUAUCCGAUCUUUCUUUAAUCUUGAAAACUUAAAAAUUUUUUUAAUCAAAAUUAUUCUCGAUAAUUUUAUCUGCAUUAAGUGUAUUAAAAAACUGAAAUAUAAUAUAUUUUAGCUUUUGAACAAAACUCUCUUUUUAUUUCAAUCGACAAAACAAUUAUGUGAUUUAUUUUUAAAUAGGAAAAAAAUAAAAUCUAUAAUUUAUUUCAAAAUUACUAUUACUAAUUAGGAAUGUGAAUUGAUAUAGAUACGGAAUUUUAUCUAAACUCGAUUUAAAAUGGGAUAAGUUUAAUCAAUGCUGAAUAGGGAUAGUUUUAGUUAUAGGUACCAAAAAAUAAAAUCCCGUCGUAUGUAAAUUCAGUUAUAGUUUUGGUCUAUAUUUAAACCGAAUCUGAACCGAAACCCAAAACCAAAAACAAAACCAAAAUCAGAUAAAAACAUACUAUAUUUAAAAUACAAUUUUUAUAUAUUUUUUAUUAAUUAAUAUAUAUUAAUAAUUUAAUUUACUAUUUAUAUAUUAAAUACUCAAAUUUAGAUUUACAAAAAUUAUUUUGAAAUACCUAUUAGUAUUUCUACUAUUAAAAAGAGAUGAAGGGUAAAAAUGGUAUUUUAAAAAUUUAACUCCGAUUCAAAUGGGUUUUAAUGGAUCUUAACUAGAGGAGGGUAUUUAUGAUAAUUUUUCACAUUUUGGAUGGCAUUUGUGAUAUUAUUAAUUUUGGAAGAGUAUUGAUGAAAUUAAUAGUUUCUAGAGGGGCAUCUAUGAAAUUAUUCCUAAAUUAUAAAUCUUAAAUUACAUUUUAGAAAAAAAAACUUUUUUUUAAUAAAUGUAAAAUGAUUCUAUAAAGGUAAAAAUUUAAUGAUCCACUAACAUGAGUCAACCUGUAUGAAUAACUUCAUAAAUUUUAUAUCUUUUUCGAGAAGGUAUAUUUGAUAACUAAAAUUUUGUAGGAAUAAAUUUGUAAUUUCAAAACAUUAUAAUAAUAUAUAUAAAAAUAUUCCUAAAUUUUAAAUGCUAGAUAGAGCCAAUUUAAUAGUGUACUAAAAUAUUAUAUAGAAAUGCUUCAAUACAGUAGUGAACUAUUAAAUAGUAAGAAAAACUUCAAAUACCAUCUCUGUGAUUUCACAUUUUUUUAUUUUAGUAUCUUGUGGUUUAAAGUGUAUUAUUUUAGUACUCCAUGGUUUCAUUUUUCUCUUUUUAUUAUCCUCCUUCCUAUUUUUUUUUUCGUUAAAUUAGUAAAAAAGAUAAAACUAAAAUAUAUUAAAGUGAAUAUUCGAUAAACCUAGGAGAGGUAUCGGAAAUUUUUUAUAUAUAAUUUAACGAAAUGUUAACGAAGGAGCUGACCAAAAGAGAAAAAUAAAACCACAGGGUAGUAAAUUGAUACACUUUAAAAUAUGAAAAAUUAAAGUGAGAAAGUGUGAAACUAUAAGGGUGAUAUUUGAAGUUUACCCUAAAUAGCAAUAUGCUUGCUCUCAUAUUGCGCAUCGUAAAUAUCCCACUGGAUUAAAAAUUACACCAAUUAUCAUUCUAUAUUUCACCAAUAUUUCAAAUAGAUCCAAAAAUUAAAUUAUAAAAUUUUAUUAAAACGGGUUGGCAUGUCGCAUUGUUCUACAUCUGAUCAAUAUCUAUUUAAUUGACAACUUAAAAAAUAAAUAAAAAAAUUAUAAAAAUGAGAUCUCUUAUUCACUAUCAAAUUUAAUAGUUUACUGAAUAAAUUUAUUCAAUUUAUAUAAUUCUAUUAUAUUAAGCAACUUCAUUUGCAAACUAAUUUUUAUAAAAUUUUACAGUUCAAUUCCACGAUCAUCGUUAAUAAUUUAAGCUAUUUGUGUUAGAAGCGUGAUUUAUGCUGAUACCGAUUAUAUAACCCAAAAUUUAAAAUAGAACUAAAUAAUAUAGAAAAGAAAUAUUGGAGGAGGAAGAAAUAGCUAAACUAAUACUUUAUUAAUAAAAAGCAAUUAAUUACAUUUCGGGCAACACCCUCGGCCAUGUCUAUUAUAUAUGACUUAUUCAUCUAAUUAGCCCAUGCCUAACUAUAUAUAGCCAUCAAAUCAUAACAGAUGAUAAAUUCAAUUUUAUUUUGGAUAAUUACAUAUCUUAAUCAUAGUCAAAUAAAAUAUUUAAACUUAUCUCUAAUUAAUUAUAUUUUAAUUAAAUUUGGAUUAUUAUUCCAACAAUUUGAUAUAAUGGAAAAGUUAUAGGUAGCUGAUUAAUGCAAUUUUCAGUGCAAGAGUACUACAACUGAGAUGUGGGCUAAAGUGUGAGGAGGAGUUUUAUAAUUUAUACCUAAAAAAGUAUAGAGCAUCAAAAUUAAUGAGGUUUGUUGUAAAAAAGCAUUACCUAAUUAGGCAUAAUAUAUAGAGUGAGGCUACUAUGCUAUCGGAAGUACGGAGCCUACUGUGCUUCCAGCUCGUUUUCGAUGUUGCGACUUCGAAUCGUCGAUCGGCUCCGUUAAACUUGAUCUAGAGUAUUUAAAGUAUCUAGAAAAUAAAUUUUAUUAUUUUUCGAUAUCAUUUGCCUAGUGAUCGAAGCGGCUACAAAUCAACAAAUUUCAAUGGCCAUAGUGAGCCAUUUGCAAGUUUAACGGUGUAGAAAUAUUCAAAUCACGUGAAAUUUUGAUAGAAAAUUCUUUAUACUAUAUAAAACAAGAUCAAUAUCUUUGAUUUAAAAUUUUAAUGUCAUAUUAUUAUAUUUUGUAAGAUUUUUAUUUUCAGCCGUUGAUAUUAAGCCGCUUCGUUCACUAGGCAAAUGAUAUCGUAAAAUCAUAAAAUUUAUUUUCUAGGUACUUCAAAUACCUCCUAUCAAGUUUAACGGAGCGGAUCGACAAUUUGAAAGCUGCGAACAUCGAAAACGAGCUGGAAGCACGGAGGGCUCUGUGCUUCCAGAAGCAUACCAGCCCACUCUAUAUAUAUAUAUAUAUAUAAUAUUAUAUAUAUUAUAUAUAUAUAUAUAUAUAGAGUGGGCUGGUAUGCUUCUGAAGCACAGAGCCCUCCGUGCUUCCAAGUUGUUUUCGAUGUUCGGACUUUCGAAUCGACGAUCGGCUCCAUUAGAGUUAAUCUAGAGUAUUUGAAGUAUUUAGAAAUAAAUUUCGCGAUUUUUCAUAUUAUUUGCCUAGUGAUCGAAGGGGCUCAAAAUCAAUAAUUUUAACGGCCGUGGUGAGCCGUUUGCAAGUUUAACGGUGUAGAAAUAUCCAAAUCACAUGAAAUUUUGAUAGAAAAUUCUUUAUACCAUAUAAAACAAGAUCAAUAACUUUGAUCUAAAAUUUUAAUAUCAUAUCAUCAUAUUUUGUAAGAUUUUUAUUUUCAGCCGUUGAUUUUGAGCCCCUUCGAUCACUAGGCAAAUGAUAUCGAAAAAUCGCGAAAUUUAUUUUCUAGAUACUUCAAAUACUCUAGAUCAAGUCUAACAGAGCCGAUCGUCGAUUCGAAAGUCCCAACAUCGAAAACAACUUGAAAGUACGGAGUGCUCCGUGCUUCCAAAAGCACCCCAGACGCACUCUAUAUAUAUAUAUAUAUAUAUAUAUAUAUAUAUAUAUAUAUAUUGUAGUUGGAAAACAAAUACAAUAUUACUCCUGUACUUAACUAAUUUUUUUGUGGUACCUCUUCUAGACAAAUAUAUAUAAAAGCAUUUACCAAGGACAAUACCUAACUUUUUGUCUAUUUCUAAGCAUUAAUUUCUAGCAAACUCUUUGACCAUUUAAUUUGGCAAAUUUGGGACAAUUUUGGGCUUAAAAUAAAUGUGCUUUAAAGUUGUCAUUCAAUGGGUUAGGAACAAUAUAAACUUUAGUUCAAUAUUUGACUACAUUAUAAUAUUGCCCUUCUAUUGUUGAAUAUCAAAAAAGAACAAAUAUUAUUAGGGUUGGAAUUCUCCUAAGAGUACCCUUUAAUGAUUAAAAUUAUGCCAUUAAGCUUAUAUAUUUUUCAAUAUUUUAUUGUAGUUAUAUUACACAAGGAACUACAUGUCAUCUCAAACUAAUGUAUAGAUCCAAUUUGAUUAUCUUAAGAAAACAAUUUGGGAAAAAUUAGAUAAUAUGAAAGUUAUAUAUUUUCAACCCUAACGUUUUUCUUCUGUUAUAGUUGGCAAUCUUUUAUUAUUAUUAUUAUUAUUUUUUCCUUCAAACAAACACGUAAAUUUCAUUUUAGGCUACUCACGUCUUUGAAAAGUCGAAGACUAGCUAUAUCAUCUUAUAUUUAAAAGUGUAUAUGAAGAACUGAACCUCUGUCCUCUUAAUAAUUAAUGAUUCGAGAUACCAACCAACUGCAUUAAGCAGUAGUGAUAUAAUGGAGAAUAUACACGUAAAAAUUAAAAUUAUAUCUAUGCUUAUAAAAUUGAAACUGAAUUAAUUUUUUUGUAACAACAAAAGUCUUUAGGUACAUAUAUACAUGUACUUUAAGCCAGGUAAAAAUUCUCUGUUCCCAAAAAUGCUACAUAAAAUAUACAUCUAUGUAAUAACACCAAACACUGUUUAGAUGUACAUCCAACUAUAUAACUAUUUAAAAGAGAUGUACCAAUAAUGGCAAAAGGUGAUGAGCUCAACUCAAAGCAAACAAUAUGUACACCAACUUUCACUGUGCAAAACAUUUAUGAUUCAUGUAUUUUUUAUCAAUUAUAUAUAAAUAUUUAUCAUUAAUGGAGUUACCCUAGAAUACCUCUAUGCUGGUGUGUGGUGCUAUUGAGUCUUUUUUUUUUUUUUUUAUGGAGUGAUGGAAUUCGAUGAUUUACGAUGUUGAAUGAUCGAGAGUUUCAUAAUUUUAGAAAAUUGUUUUGUAGUUCAUCAAGUGAUCGUAAAAUACACGAUCAAAAUAGAACAAAUCUGUCGAAAUUUUAGAAUAGAAGUCUCAAAUUCAAAAUCAGGAUAGCGUAUUUUGAUCUAGAUUGUUAAAAAAUUUAAUUGAUUUUAAUGGUGUUAUACCAUUAAAAGAAAAAAUGUGUCAUAUAGGGUAUUAAAAUUAUUCAAUUUAAAUUGUAUAUUUACAUUACUGUUGCUUCAAAUAGGUCUAAGAUUUAAAAUAAGGGGCAAUUACUUAUAUAUCACUGAAAAGUUUCCGACUUUCUGAUUUACCUCUCUUAAUUAGAAGACUAAUAUUGAAAAUACUUUUUUUACGUUUCAACCUAUUUCAAAUAUACCCCUAAAGUUAAAAUCUGUUAAUGAACUCUGUUAUUUCUAUAAAAUUACUAUUUUGCCCUUUCAAAUAUACCCUUCUAUCUGCACGGAUUUUUUUAUUUGCCCUUAAGUUAGGGGCACAAAAAGUAUUUUGUUUUUAAUCUUUUCAAAUAUACACUUUUACCAUCACCAAUAUUUCUUAUUUACUCUUAAGUUAAGGACAAAUAUGACGUUUUAAUUUUUUUUUAACUGUGGUAGAUAUUUAACUCACAUUUAACCCAAGUUAACUUAACGGAUGAUAACGGUAGGGGUGCGUUUGGUUCCCACUAUGAAAGAUUACUAGCAAUAAAAAGAUGUCCGAAAAUUUUAUUACUAUUCAUUCUAUUACUAAGAAUGUGGUAUUCUUGUAUUUGGUUCGUACGGUUAUAUUAUUUAGUCAUAUUAUUUAAGUUUACAAAAAAUAUACAAUUAAUAUAUUUAUUUCUUUAAUUAAUUUUAGAUAAUGGCAUCAAAAAUUUCAACAUCUUUUUAGAAAAAGGGAGAGAGAGAACAUAGGUUAGAGAAAGAGAGAGAGCAUAAUUAAAGAAAUAGAAAGAGAAAUAGAAUUAAGAUUAGAGGAAGUGAGAGAGUUGAGAUUUUAGAAAAAGAGGAGAAGAAAGAGCUUAGGUUAGAGAGAGAAAAAGAGUUGAAGUUUAGAGAGAAAAAAUAAGUUUAGAGAGAGAUAUGAAGUUUGAAUGUAAAGAAAAAUAAUACCAACUAGCCGGCGGGUAAGGAAAAAGAAAGAGAUUAGAUAUAUUAUGAUUAUCCUAAUCCAUUAAUACGAGGAUACUCAUCAUUCCUCAAGGGAAUGAGAUCAGUACUUUGGGAUGAAUCUCAUUCCCAAAUAAAUCUAAUAUUACCGAUUAGAUUACUUAGUGCGUUUAGUCAAAUACCGUCAUAUUUUUUUAUUCCUAUUGGAUUAUUAGGAAUAUUAAAAAGAUAGCGCGAACCAAACGCACCCUAGGAGCAUUUUGAAAUAACGAAGGAACAUAUGAGAAAUAUAUUAGAAAGAAAAAAAAAAAAAGGAUAAAUCACUAGCUGUUUACACUUUAUUGCUCACACCUUAAGAAUAAAAUGUGUUUCAAGGGACAAAGAUUAUUAUGAUGUUUCACAGAUCCUAAUCUGACUCGCUCAUGAAUUCUAAUCAGACCCGAAUUUGUAGUCUCUUUUUUAUUAUAUUAGAAAAGAUAUUUUGUUUGAGAUAUCUAUUAGAUUAAGAAUAUGUUUUAAUUUAUUCUUUUCUAAUUAGUCCGUUUAUCAUAUGGACUUAUUAUAAUGAUUCUAACUCUAUAAAUAAAAAGCUUUGUGUUUUUAUAGAAAAGGUCCAUUCAAUUAAUAAAGAAGUGAGUUUUUUUAAAUAACUUUUAGCAGGUUAAGUUAGGAGAGAAGAUCUCUCUUUCUCUCUGUAGCGGAGAAGUGUCAAAUAAAGACAUUAAAUUUAUUUAUCAGUAUCAAUUUUACAACCAGAAAUUAACAUGAGAUCCUAACAUAUUCUAACUCAUUUGUAUAUAAUUUUGUAUCCAAAAUGUGUAAUUAUUUUAAAAUUUGAAAGGUGGGCUAAAGUGCUGAUUUUUAUUUGUGGGCAAUUAUUGAUAUAUUCCUGAAAAAUUUUUGACUUUCUUAUUUACCUUUCUUAAAAUGCUAAUAUUAAAAAUACUCUUUUAAUAUUUCAAGUUAUUUCAAAUAUAUUUCUAUAGUUAAAAUCUGUUAGUGAAUUAUUAAGAAAACCGUUAUCUCUGUAAAAUUACUAUUUUGCAAGUAUACCCUUCUACAAUCAUUGACAUUUCUUAUAUGCCCUUAAAUUAGGAGCAAAAGAGAUAUUUUGACCUUUUUUUUUUUCAAAAAUAUUCUUCUACCGUCAUCAGCUUUUCUUAUUUGCUCUUAAGUUAGGGGGCCAAAUAGGUAUUUUGACUUCUUUUUAACUCUGGUAGAAAUUUAAUUCGGAUUCAAUCCGAGAUGACUUAACAUAAAUAUAUUAAAUAACAAAUAAAUAUAUGAGUGGGGUAUUUGAAAUAAAAAAAAUAGAAAUAUAUAAAAUGUUUCAAAAUUUUUGAAAGGUAUAUUAAAUACUGUCCUAUGUGUUGUGUGUGUGUGUGUGUGUGUGUGUGUGUUUGGUGUGGCGGGGGAGAGGCACUGAUAUAGCUAACUGCAAUAAGGAAAUUGUGUGAAGGCUUGUCUGAAAUUGUUCACAUCACUUUCUGGGGAAGCUACUGUUGGACAAAAUUGGUCCUUUAUCAGUCAGGAGAAAAAGCCUGCUGCUGUCAAACUUUUUAAAUGGCUUUUGGGUUUGCUCAUGAUCAGAAUGCUGUUCAGAAAGCAUCAAACAAACAAUCUCUCUCUCUCUCUCUCUCUCUCUCUCUCUUCUCUCUCUCUCUCUCUACUGGAAUAAAGAUCAGAGAGAAGGGUAAAUUGUAUUUAUAGUCCCUGUACUUCUCACAUAUCAUGCCUCCAUCCUUGUACAAUCUGUCCAACUUUUUAGGGCCUGUUUGUUUUUGUGGAGCUCGUAACGCCGAGAAAGUCGUCGGCGUCAGCGUUUGUUUCGGUGGUAUCUGAAGCUAUGAAAUUGCCCAAACUCCCAUUACUCCCAAUUGUUCAGAGAUCGAUCUUUCGACUUUGAUGGAAUACGGGACGAGUCAAUUUUAGUUUCUAAACUUUCUUAUGUACGUUAGUCUUCUAAUUAUUUUAUCUGUUCAGUGUUAAAUUUUAAUAGUUUUAAUCACUCUUCAAUUUCAAUUUUAGUAAUUCACAGAACAGAUAAAUUUGUUAGAAUUAUUAACGUAUACAAAAAAGUAAAAGUUAAGGAGGUGUUACAGUAAAAAGUAGAGUUGAAAGAUCCAUAUCAACAUUUUUACUUUAAAUUUACUUCAAAUGGGUCAAAAAGUGCACUCAUUCUAUUAGUUAAAAUAUUUUAGACUUUUCAAAAAUAUUAUCUUUAUAUGUUGCUGAACCAUUAACAAUCACGUAUAAUAUUUUUUUAAAACGUAUAAUAUUUUUUAAAAAAUAAGCAUCACCUAGUAAAUAAUAUAUAAUAAGAGAAUUAUAAAAAAAUACAAAGAAGUACUUUUUUAUUGGAUUUAGAUGGAAAGAAUAAGGGAAAAGGGAAAAGAAAAAAAAAAGAAAAAAAAGAAGAAAAAGUUCUUUUCAUAGAAGAAAAAGUACUUUCCAUAGGAGAAGAGAAGAGAAAAUUCUCUCUCUCUCUACUUUUUGGGAGAAAGAAAAAAAAAGAAUGUUAAUUAUUACGAAAGGUCCUUUUCUUUGUCUCCUUUUCUUUUCCAGUCCUUUGAUAUCACAAGAAUUACUUUAGAAAAAGAAAAGGUAGAAAAAAAAAUGAAUGGAGCCCCCUGGACUAUAGGGAAUUUUGAAGUGACCCUCUUAACUUCCCUUUUUUAAUUUAUUGGUGCUUCCUGAACUUUUAAUCUUUUAUUUAAGUUUUUUUAAUAUUUAGUUAAGCUAAAAUUUAUAUAAAUUUAAUAACUUUAUUCGAAUUUGUUGAUGUUGCACCCACGAAGUAUGGAAAGUGCCAAACAUUGGGAACUACCCGGGGAGGAGUUAGGAACAGGAACAAGGAGAAGCGAGAACCACUUAAAUGGUGGAAUCGAUUGUAUUUUUAAUGUUUUGCUAAAAUAAUUAUGCUAAAAUAAUUAGAAUUAUUUCACUUAAUGAAAUUAUUAAUAAACUUUUUGAAAUAUUUUAUUAAAAUUAUUUAAUUUUAAAAGAUCAAAAGUUAAGAAAGUCUCACCGGAAGAAAUAUAAGAUCGAAAAAACUAGCACCGGCCAGAAAGAAACAAGUUUUGUUUGCAAAAGAAGUCAAUACAAGGGGAGUGAUUAAUAGAUUUGUGUAGUCAUCAAAUCCAAUCCAACUUGCACUAGAUUGAGGGUGUUUUUAAAAAUAGACCUAUAUUUGAGGAGGCCUUCAUAAAUUUUCACCCUGCAACAAAAGGAGGAGUGCUAGAUCAACAACCCAACUUGGGUUCUAAUCUUAUAACUCCACGGAUUCAAAACUCUUUCUGUUUUUGUUUUUUUUUUUUUUUUUUUUUNNNNNNNNNNNNNNNNNNNNNUUUUUUUUUUUUUUUUUUUUCUGCUUGUCUUAUUAAUUUUUUUUUUUUAGUAUAAACUUAGCGUUUUCUAAAUUAUUACAAUCAAAUUUUACAACUUUUCAGUAUUAGAGUUAAAGAAGCAAUAAUGUUAUACUUUAAAUAAGUCAGUAGUUAAUGAACUGAUUGAAUCGUCGAAUAUAGUUACAGUAAUUAAAAAAUUUAAGUCAAAAAUUAUAAUAAAUUAAAGCUUGCGGAUCAAAGCGUCGCACACUGCUUGUAGUGUGAGGACCAAAAAUAUAAUGUACCAAAAGAAAAUAAAAAAUUAAAGUAAAAAAAGAAAAAGAGCAGCAGCAGCAGUAGAAGAAAAGUAAAUGCACCCACCAGAAGGAAAGAAAGAAAGAGAGAAAGAAAGAAGUAUUAUAUAUUAAUUAGUAAUAAUAAUAAUAAUAAUAAUAAUAAUAAUACCCCUUCCCUUGUGAUUAUAUAACCCUCUCCACUCCUCCCCUCCUCCCUUUCUUCUCCUUGCAAGUUGCAACCCCACCCCACCUUCCCCUUUCCCCCUCCUUUCCCCCUCCAUCAAAAUUCUACCCUAACCCUAACCCUAACCCUAAACCCUCUCUCUCUCUCUCUCUCUCUCUCUCUUGCGAUUGCGAUAUCGAUUGCGAUUCCGAUGAUGGCCCACGUCGAAAUGGGGCCAGGCGAGGCCGCCGCCGCCGCCGCAGCAGCAGCAGCAGCAGCGGCGGCGCCGGUGAUCAAGCUCUUCGGGGCCGUGAUCCACGAUCGGCCCCCGAAGGAGGAGGAAGAAGACGACGACGACGACGCGGCUUCGGCGUCGGCGGCGGCGGCGGCGGCGGCGGCGCGGCCUCCGCCGCCAUCGUCCUCGGCGGAGUCUGGAGGCGGCGGCGGAGGGGGUGGUGGGGGGGCGGCGGCGGCGGGGGUUUCGGCGCCGCUGCCGUGCCCGCGGUGCCGGAGCCGGGAGACGAAGUUCUGCUACUUCAACAACUACAACGUGAACCAGCCGCGGCACUUCUGCAAGUCCUGCCGCCAGCUAACUGGGACCGCCGGCGGCGCCCCCGCAACGUCCCGUCGGCGCCGGCCGCCGCAAGGCCCGUCCCCUCCCCACCCCUCCCCCGACCGCUGCUUCCCCCGCCCGAUCGCUCCGCGGUUCCGCCGCCCCCCGCUUCGGCUGACCAAGAUUCACGACGAGGACGAGGACGAGGACGAUCAUCAUCAUCAUCAUCAUCAUCAUCAACAACGAUUAGCGAUCGAUUACCAUGUGAGCCUCGCACAUGGAAACCUUUUUUUUUUUCUCUUUUUUUUUUUAACUUCUUAUUUUCUUAUUUCUAUUUGUUUUCUGUGAACAUAUAUGGAGAAAUUUCGCCUCUUUCUUUUUUUUAUUUUUAUAUUAAUUAAUGCUUUUUUUUUCUUUUUCCUAUUUUGCACUACUUCUGCACACAAACAAACAAACAAGAUUAUCGAUCCUGCUAUUUAUUCAUCCCAACAAUCUGAAGAUCGAAGAGAAUGCGUCUCCGUCUCUCGUUUUUAAUGUGUGAAUCAAUUGAAAAGGUCUUUUAACUUCGAUGAGAAUUAUCACCCGAUAAUAACAUUUGAUAUCGACGGUAUGGCCAAUCUCUAUUUUUUAUUUUUACAUGAUAGCUUUUUUUCUUUUUCUUUUUUUACAUGAUAGCGAAUUUGUUUUAACAAAAAGUAAAAUUGUACAAAAAUUUGAAACUAAUGUUAGUAAAUUAACACUUUUUUAUUUUUUUUAAAUUUUUUCUCUCUAAUAUAUUUUUUUUUUUUUUUGUCUCAGUUCAAAGAAUCAGUGCACCACCCCCCGAAAAAAAGAAAAAAAGAAAAAACGUAACGAAUACUUCAAAACAAAAUUGUCGUUUUUUGAGCACGGAAAAUUUGAAGAAAAAGACUCAGAAAAAGAAAAGAGACAAAUUAAAAAGGCAUAUUUUUUUAAGAGACACGUGGCAUUUAUUAAUUUGUCCUUGUGCAGUUGAAAAAGUCAACCCAAUUCGUUGGGUUGUUGCUUUUAGAUUAGGGCGAAAAACAGUGUUUUGUUUUUGGAUUUUUUUUUUUUCCUCGAGCGUUAGCAUUUUUCUUCGGCAUCAAUUUUUUUUUUCUUUGUCCUUUUAUAAUUAGCCGGCGACGUUUUAUAUAUAUAUAUAUAUAUAUAUAUAUAUAAUUGAGUUAGAAUACUCUCAAAAGCAUCUUUCGGGUUUCUAGUCUUUGGAUUUAUUUCUUAAUUACUAAUAACAUUUGGAUUAAACACUAUUCCACCUACCAUCAUCAUCUCACCCUACAUUUCUCCAUCCAACAGCUAAACACUCAAAAGCACCCACCCCUUGGUGCUUUUGAUAGUAUUUUAGCUCAACUAUAUAUAUAUAUAUAUAUAUAUAUAUAUAUAUAGAGAGAGAGAGAGAAAUAUUAGGGUUAUUAUAUUUUUAUGAAUAUUGAACCUUUUGUACUCAUAAGUUUUCGGCCGUUGAAUGAAGGGAUAUAGGGUUAGAAUGAUAGUGAUCCCCGGUUAAGAUGAUAGUGAUCCUUUAUGGUUGAGUGGGUGGUUGGUUGAAAAGUAUGAUCUAAUUGAUGGAAAUGGUCAAAAUGGUAGAUCUAACGGUCGAAAACUCAUGGAUACAAAGAAGGUAAUACUCAUGAGAGUAGAGUAGCCGGAUUAUAUAUAUAUAUAUAGUCCAGCUAGUAUACUAUCGAUAGUACCAAGUUCGUACUAUCGAGUUUUCUGACGUUAGAUCUAUCAUUUGAUUAUUUCCACUUGUUAGUUUAUACUAUUCAACCAACCACCCACUCAACACUAAGGGUGACGUUAGAUAUAUCCUUUAAGCAUUUUCACCCGUUAAAUUAUACUAUUCAACUAACCACCCACUCAACCCUAGAGGUGACGUUAGAUCUAUCCUUUGAUCAUUUCUAUCCGUUACUUUAUACUAUUCAACCAACCACCCACUCAACCCUAGGGGUGACGUUAGAUAUAUCCUUUAAUCAUUUUCACCCGUUAGAUUAUACUAUUCAAUUAACCACCCACUAAACCCUAGAGGCGACGUUAGAUCUAUCCUUUGAUCAUCUCUAGCCUUUAAAUUAUACUAUUCAACCAACUACCUACUCAACCCUAUAGGGGUAACGUUAGAUCAAUUCUUUGAUCAUUUCCACCCAUUAUAUUAUACUAUUCAACCAACCACCCACUCAACCCUAGGGGUGACGUUUGAUCUACCCUUUGACCAUUUCCGCCCGUUAGAUCAUAUUACCCUUUGACCACUCAACCCUAUAGGGAACCACUAUCAUCUUAACUAUACAUCCCUUCAUCCAAUGGCUGAAAACUUAUAAGUACAAAGGUAGAAUUACUAUACUUUUAUAAUUAUAGAACUCUUCGUACUCAUAAGUUGUUUUCGAUGAUGGGGCUUAGAAACUCAUCAUCGAUAGUAUUAAGAGCUUCGUACUAUCGAUAGUAUAGUGGCCGAAUUCUAUAUUAUAUAGAAUUAUGCCACUAUACUAUUUAUAAUACCAAGCGCUUUGUACUACCAAGUUUUCGGCCAUUGGAUAAAAGAAUGUGCGAUUAGGAUGAUAGUGGUCCCUCAGGGUUGAGCGAGUGGUUGAUUGAAUAGUAUGAUCUAACGGACGAAAAUAAUCAAAGGGUGAAUCUAACGGCAGAAAAUUCGAUAAUACUAAGAGCUUUGUACUAUUGAUAGUAUAAUAGCCGAACUCUCUCUCUCUCUCUCUCUCUCUCUCUCUCUCUCUCUCUCUCUCUAUAUAUAUAUAUAUAUAUAUAUAUAUAUAUAUAUAUAUAUAUAUAUAUAUUGUCAAUAUUACCAUAAUUUUAUGGGCUAAAUUACAAAAUGCCCUAGCCAGGCUCGAUUUAUGGCUUAAUUACUCUCUACUAGACUAUAAAAAUGAUAAUAUCUAAUAUACCAUUUAAUAAAACUUUAAAAAUAUAUGAUAUUCCUAAUUGACCAAAUUAUUUUUAUUGAUUUUCAAAAAUUUCUUCUAAUAUCCCCAAAUCCCUAGGGUUUAUUUACCGGAUUUGGGAUUUAGAAGAAUAUUUUGGCAAUUUUAAGAUAAAGGGUAAAUAUGCUAAAGUCCCUAUAAUUUCAGUAUUAUUUUUAUUUGCUAUAUCAUAUUAUUUUUUUCAAAUACAUCAUUGUAUUAUUGUUUUAUCAAUCUUUAUACUGUAUUUUAGAUCCUGUAUUUUUCUUGCCAAUCUUUACAUUUUGUUAACAAAUCUAUUUUAUUUAGACAAAAUCCAACGACUUUAUUAACAGAAGCCGGUUAAAUAAUAGAAAAUAAAAAAAUGAAUUCUAUGCAUAGGGAUGUCAAUGGGUAUGGAUAUCCGAAAUUUUAUCCGAACCCGAAACCGAAUGAAACAGAUAUAUCCAAUGGAUAUGGAUAUAGAUUCGGAUAUGGAUAUCAAAAAUAGAAACCCGACGGAUAUAGAUUCUGAUAUGGAUUUUGAUUGUACCCGACCCGAACCCGAACCCGAAUUUAUUUUGUAUUAUAUAUAUAUAUAUAUAUAUAUAUAAAUUUGAUGUUAAAUUUGAAUUUGUAUUUUAAAAAUUCAGGUUUAAUAUAAUAAUAUUUUGAAAUAUUGAAAAAAGAAAUAAUUAUUUCGGGUUCAAAUUUUCGGGUUCGGGUUCCGGUUCGGGUUUCGGAUUUUUGGUCGGGUUCGGGUUUGGAUAUGGAUUUUUAAAAUCCGUCGGGUUCGGGUUCGGAUUCGGGUCUUGGGUUUGGAGUCGGGUUCGGGUUCGGAUUUUUAAAAAUCCGCCCCGAAUCCGACCCGUUGACAUUUCUAUAUAGACUCAUGUAAAGCUUCUAUCAAAUUAUUUUUAAUAUAUUUUAUUCUUUUUUAUAUCAAAAGAAUAUAUAACAUACAGUAUAGUAUAAUAUAAUUAAGCUAUUACCAUGCACUAAAAAUUGCACUGUUAUUGUAGUAUACUAUAUUAUUGUAUCAAACAGACUUAAAAUUUUAGAAUAAUUAUUGAAUUUUAGAAUAAUUUGUAAUGUUACAAAUGGAUAACAAAUUAGAUAAAUCAUAUUUCCUACUUUACCAUGCAUUACUAUGAAAAUGAAUGAUUUAUUAAACAAUUAUAUUUAAUUUACAUGAUUCUAAUGCAUGCAUUAAAUGCAACUAACUUUAUCUGCAGAGAGAGAGGGAUGGGGGACCCCAAAAAAAAACAAAAUCCCUAACCCCAGUUUCAUUUGUCCAUGCACUGUUUUAUACUUCGCUAUUAUCUCAAAUAGAUUCGGAAUUUUUGGAAUAAUUAACAAAUUUGAAAUGAGUUGGCACAUCACUUUAUUCUACGCUAUCAACAUUCAUCUAAUUCUCAAUGUUAAAAAUGGAUAACAACUUAGAUUAAAAAAUAUAUAUUAAAAUUGAUAGUCUAUUGAAUAAUGUUAUCUAAUUAUGUAAUUCUAUUGCAUUGAAUAUAACUAACUCUACCUGGGGGCACUAGAAAGGGCCAUGGUCCCCCCCUAAAUUUUGUAACUUAGCACUCUCAUAAUAAUUUGCAUCAAUUUUUUAAAAAAAAUAAUUAUAUGUGUAGUUAUUAAUUUCUUAUUUUAUAUAUAUAUAUAUAUAUAUAUAUAUAUAUAUAUAUAUAUAUAUAUAUAUAUAUAUAUAUAUAUAUAUAUAUAUAUAUAUAUAUAUAUGGAGUAGGUCUUACGUGCUAUUAGUAGUACGGAGCCCUCCGUGCUCCUAAGCCGUUUUCGAUGAUAGAGCUUCCGAAUCGACGAUCGGCUCCGUUAGGCUUGAUCUAGUAUAUUUGAAGUAUCUAAAAAAUAAAUUUUGCGAUUUUUUGAUAUCAUUUACCUAGCGAUCGAAAGGGUUCAAAAUUAACAAUUUUUAACGGUUGAUGUAUAUCGUUUGCAAGUUUAACGGUGUAAAGUAUUCAAAUCAGAUCAAAUUUUGAUAGAAAAUUCUUUAUACUAUUUACUGCGAUAUCAACAUCUCUGAUCGAAAAUUUUAGUGUUAUAUCACCACUUUUUGUGAUAUUUUUAUUUUCAGCCGUUGAUUUUGAACCCUUCCGAUCGCGAGGUGAAUGAUAUUGAAAAAUCGCAAAAUUUAUUUUCUACAUACUUCAAAUACGCUAGAUCAAGUCUAACGGAGCCGAUCGUCGAUUCGGAAACUCCAUCAUCGAAAACGGCUUAGGAGCACGGAGGCCUCUGUGCUCCGAAUAGCACACAAUACCUACGCUAUAUAUAUAUGUAUAUAUAAUAAUCAUCAUUGUAAGUUUGUCUUUGACAAUCAUUCUGAAAUUUUUAGACAUAUUUAAGACAAUAGCAAAAUAUAGGAGGGAAAUUGACACAACUUUUAGUAUAGAAAGUAAUUGAGAUGAGCUAAAAUGCAUGUGGCCUUUUGUAAUGUAGCCUAAUUUUAUGGAUAAAUUUUUUUCCAGUAGUACCUGAAAUUUCAGCCAAGUUUCACUUUGAUUCUCAAACUUUCAAGCGCGACUCGCUGAUCCCUACACUUGUGAAAGAGUUUCAGUUUAGUCGGGGAUAAAUUAUUAUCUAUGUAUUUAUCGACUACUUUUUUCAUUAUAUAUUUCAACCCUAUCAUCCAUUGAGUCACAAUGUUUCCUUUUAAAACAAAAAUAAUUACUGUCCAAAUGAAUAGAUGAACUAAUAAGUUCAAGCAAGAGUUUGUAGUCUAAAAUAAGGGCUAAAAUAGACACUGACAAAAGUUUAGAGACUAAAUUAUAUAACAAGUUUAGGAUUUGGAAUAUCUAAAUCAAAAGGUUUAAGGGCCAAAAUGAAACGCGACUUAAAGUUGAAGGACUAGACGUGCAAUUUAUGCGUAAGCUAGAGAAAGAGAAAUGCUAUCACUGCCAAUCUAUGAAAAUAGCUUAUAUACUCCUGCAAACUUUAAUUAAAGGUACAAAUUUGACCAUCAAAACUUGUAAAAUCGUGUACAAAUGAUCCUUCUUCUUCUUCUUCUUUUUUAACUAACAUGCUUUUGGAAUUCUCAAUAGUGAUUUUAUGCAAUUCGAAGAACUUUAAAACCAACAAUAACUAGGAUAUAUAUAUAUAUAUAUAUAUAUAUAUAUAUAUAUAUAUAGAGUAGGCCUAGAAUACUUUUACAAGUAUCACCCAAGUGAUACUUGUGUGUUUUUAGCCAUUGGAUCUACUUUUUGAUUACUAAUAGCCUUUGGAUCAAACACUAUUCCACCUACCACCACCUACUUUAGGGUUAGAAACCUACAAACAUCUUCAAAUGAAAACAGAAUUAAAUUAAAAAAAAAAAAGCUUUUUGAGUGCAUAUGGUUUUAUACAGCUUUAAAACACACAAUUUAUUUUUUCUAUUUUAAGAUGUAAAGGAACGAUAAAAAUUGAGGCUUUGUUCAACCUACUCUCCACUCGCCAUGGUUAAUUAUCAAAAUUGGAAGAGAAAAAUGCAUUUCCUUACAUUUUGUAGUCUUACAAAAUUAUGUGCACAAAUCUGCUCAAAAUGACUGGAAUAUUUAAUAGAGUUUAAUAAAUGUAAUUGUCAAAAUUCAAAGUUCAGGAGCCUAUUUGCAAAAGAGCUAAAGUUCAGGGGGUCUCAGUAUAUUUACCCUAAUGAAAACUCAGAAAUUGCCAUUAGUACUGGUAUUCUAAUUCAAUAGAAUUUCUCUAUGUCAAUUGUUAUAUAGCAUCCAUAAUCAACUUAUCUCGUAUAAAAUAUUCUCACUUAACUGGAAAUCAAGAAUUCGAAAAGCGGAGAUCACCCGGACUUUUCGAGAUUUAUCGAUUCUACCUCAUGAGUUCUCUCUCCAAAGUGAUCCAAAAUUAUAAACCUGUGAAUGUAUAACAUAACUUCAGAUCAUAAACUGCCGAAAAAUUCAAAAUAAAUGUGCCAUAUUAAGUGCGGGAGCAGAUCUCACCUUUUAUAUACAUAAAAAGGCUGUUCAUAAUGCAAGAUUGUUGCUUUGAUAAAGGGUGGUGUUCAUACUCGUGGAUUCUCGACUACAAAUAGGGCAUCCUGAAUAGCUUGGACGAAGGUGGCGAUCUUGUAAGUGAAGAAGCCGACAAGCAUUGGUAUCAGCUCCAGGUGCAUGAAGCCGUAAUCUGGAACUAGAAUCCUGGCAUGGGAAGAGAGUAGACAGAGGAAAUAAGAAGCAUCAAAUAUUCGCUUAAAAGUACAAUGAAAUAAUAUCCUAGUGCAAAUUCAGCACUGAUUCAAUUGCGCACAAAAAAGGGUAAAAAUAUACAGCUACAACUCCAACUGCAGGUUAUUUCUGAUAUAGGUCCGGAGCUUCUUUAGCUUUAUUUGAACUCCAAAGUAAUGUUAGUAUGCUAUCAAUCCACCUAUAGGUCAUUUUAAUAUCCUAAAGUAAUGCAUCAUUUGAUCAACUUGCAAAGGUACAGUCAAAAGAGUUGCAUGAUAUUCCACAAGUUACAUCAGAUUCUACGAUAUUGAGAACAGAUUUCAAUAACGGGCACGGAAUAGUAAUUACCAAAAUAUAAAUAUAUGUUGCGUACUUAAAUUCAAAUCAUGAUAGCACAAACCUCUGUUGUGUUUGGUGGGGUGGUGGGUAUAUCUGCUUGUAUCCCCACUUCAUCCCCCACCUAAACAGUCUUAAAAGGAAUUUUCCCAAAUCAGGUAAUACAUUAGUUGCGGGACCAAAUAAAAUAUAGAAAAAACAAAACUGAUGUUAAGGGAAGUAGAUCGAAAUCACCUAUAAUCAUAAUCUCAAAUCAUUAGUUCUGUGGGUGUUCAUAUAUGUUUUGCCUAAAUAAUCCCUCAAACCAAGUUUUCCAAGAGUUGAGUACACGCAACAAGCAUAUCUAUAAAAUAUUUAAGGUGGGUACUUACUCAUUCCACCUAUUAUACAUCAUGACCAGAGCAACCGGAACUAGCAGUCUUGGUUGUCCAAUAGCACCCCUGCAGUUUUCAGUGGACAUAAAUUUUCAACCUUCAUAAACAUAAAUUCAAUCUAAAUCAAGUACGCUAUGACUAAACCCCUAACUUUUAUGUUAUUACAUGUGAACAUGCAAUACAUUAACUAUUGAGCAUCUACAAACUGGUAGUACAUGCUCAAGAGAAAGCCAACCACAUUACGCUUAUGUGGCCCUUCUUUGUGUCCACUACGCAGAGAACUUUUUGAGACACUUUUGCAAAAGUCUGUUGUACAUUCAUAUCUCUCGAUGUCUACUGUAUCUGGAUCUUCUUAGCAUUUGCAUUACACAUAAUAUUUUUUUCUGUGAAAUGUACAGAGACCCCCUGAACUUAAGCUCUUUUGCAAAUAGGCGUCUGAACUUUCAAUUUUGGCAAUUACAACCCCUAAACUUUAUAAAAUAGUUCAAUAGGACCCUCCCCUCAACUUAAAGUUAUUAAUUACACAAUUAUUGUUCUAUCUUCCCCCUUUCUUUGCCUACCAUCCAAAACCCACAAUGUUGCGCUCAUUUUGGUCGCAUGUAUUACAUAUAGUUUUAUAAAGCUUUAAAACACAGACGAAUUUAUUUUUUAUAUUUUAACAUGCAAAAAAAGUGAAAAAAAAUUGAAGUAUGGUUCAACCUAUUCUACACUUGUCAUGUUAAUUAUCAAAAUUGGAAAAGAAAAAAUAGAUUUCUUUAUAUUUUGAAGUCUUAUAGGAUUAUAUGCAUGACAUCCGAUCAAAACGUUGUCUACCACCCAAAAACAAAAAUGUUGCGCUCAUUUUGGUCGUAUGUAUUGCAUAUAGUUUUAUAAAUAAAACGCAAACAAAUUUAUUUUAUAGUUUUAUAAAUAAAACACAAACAAAUUUAUUUUUUAUAUUUUAACAUGUAAGGAAAACAAAAAAAAAUUGAAGUAUGGUUCAACCUACCUAUUCUUCACUUGUCAUCCUUAAUUAUCAAAAUCGGAAAAGAAAAAAUAGAUUUAUUGAUAUUCUGAAGUCUUACAGGAUUAUGUGCAUGACAUCCAACCAAAGCGGUUGUGUACUUUAGUAAAUUCACUGGAGGAGAGGGGCCUAUUGAACUAUUUGAUAAAGUUUAGAAGAUUUAAUAGCCAAAAUUGAAAGUUCAGGCACCUACAUGCAAAAGCUAUAUUUCCAGUGGUCUCUGUACAUUUACCCUAUUUCUUUUGUAGGAGUUACUAAAUGUAGAAAUUUGGCUUCAAAGGAACCUAGGACGAAAAUCUUUUAUGAAUGGAAAAUCAUCUCUAGAAGUUCCAGCUUCAUAAGGUAAAUCAAAGAUAAGGAGAAAGCCUCAUAAUAGCAUUCUUUAUCUGAAAAUCAGAGCAAUUAAGAUGAAUAAUUCAUGAAGAUCUAUAAAGUUAACUAGAUAGCAAAAAUCUGAGUAACUAUCACGAGAUGAAAGGUACAUCAAACAGAUUUAUUCUGCCACUAGUUAAAAAUAGGGUGCACAUACUUGACUAGUCCUUUAGCUCCAUCUGCCAUGGAAUCAAUGCUAUUGCCCAGCAUACGCAUAUACACUAGGGAACCAACCAAACCAGCACCAAAGCUGAAAAGAGUACAGAUCAGAUGAUAUUAAGAAAGAGAAGGGGAGGUGGCAAAGAGAUUGUGCUAAUUACAUCAUUUAACAUUACAGGUUCUAUAUUCCAGUAUAGCAAUGGUAUUUUACAAUUCUUGGCAGCCAGUAUAUUAUUUAGUUACAUGAAAACAGCAGCUUGUUAUUAGUUCCUAGAAAAGGUCAGAAUACUAUGAAUAAUGGAACAACUUAGAUUGCUUAUAGACCUUUUGGUCAAAUGAUUUGUCAAGUAUUUAAAUAAAUAAGCAAAUCAUUCAUUGAAUUUAUGAAAGACAUCAUUAGUUUGCACAAUCUCGUUUCCAAUAUGUAUACAUGCGAUGUUUGCUUCCCUUUAUUACCAUUUCAUGCUACUUGCACUGAGUUCUCUGAAACUAAAUCAUAUUUUUGCCAACUUCGGUUCAUUCUUUGGAUCUACAAUUUGUCCUUCGAAGUAGCAUAAUUUAAUACAAAGCCAUCUAUGCAUUUUUGCUUCGAAAACAAGACGCUAUUUUCUACAUAACUACUAAUUGUCAUAAGUUUUAAUCAGUUGACGAACUAGGCAUUCAACUUUAACCAGAAUGAAUCCCAAAAGGCUUGAGAUAGGAUAAGGAUUAUGUAAUGUGCUAACUAUUAUACAACUAUACCAAAUAGAUUUGUUAAAGAAAGUAAAUUACGCAAGCCUCUGUUUGUUCAACAGAAAAUAUAGCACAAUACUCAAAGUUGUGCUCUUCAGUGUCAGGCUGUCAGCUCAAACAAAGUAAUAAUAAAAGCAUGUUUCUACUCCAAAAACAACUUAAACAUCAUGGAAAAUUAGAAUUCAAAAGUUGCUAAUUUUGUUUCCAAGGGAUUAAACAAGUUCCAAAUAUCUACAAAAGGAAAACGCUUAAUCAACUUAAUGCUAUAUGAUGCAAUAGAAAAAGUCAUUACUCAUAAAUGUGGUUUAUUUAAAGGAUAUACAUGCUCAAGGCUCGGAAGAUCAGCCUGAUCAGAAGACGACAAGUGCGGACGACAUUAAACAUGAUGCUGCUGAACAGUAUUAAUCAUAAAAAGUAAAGAAAUCUCUUAGCAUAUUAUAUGAUGGGGAGAUGAAGCUCCUCUCACAUAAUUAUGUAAGAAAACAACAACAUCAAUUGUUACAAAGAGCUCAAUGUUGAUAACUUCUAUGAUCUCCACAAACUAGAAAUAUACAUCAACUUCACAAGAAAAAUGAACGUGUUUUGUUAGUUUCUUAGCACUUUUGGAUCAUGUUAAGUAGUCAUGUUUCUUGUUGUUUCCUAUAUGUUAAAUGUUAUUAAAUAAUUAUUGUCAUCGUGUUUGAGGGAUGACAGAAUUUGGAAACUCUUUUGUAGCUAACUAUUACAAAUACAAAAGACAUUUAUAUCCUAUUUCUUCAAACGCUUUUCCCUGUGAUUACAUGUACAAGAAGGAUGUAAACUAAAGAGUGUCUUUCGGAGUAUAAUAGUCGUAAAUCUAAAAUAUGAACAAUAGGACACCAAUUAUAAGAUGUAAAAGCCAUGUCUUGGAACAAAACAAAACAUUCUCAAGCCUUCUUCUGACUAACAUAUUAAGUCGUCCAAAAGGAAUGCUUUGUAUAGCUGCAAUCUGACAGUCAAGAAAGGUCUGAGGAAAGAUUUGAUCAACAAGAAAUGGAUUUCCAAAUCUUUUAGUUGCUAUAUUGGCCUUUUAGCACCUGCAGUUACAUUAAAGUGUUUUGGGUUCUAAAUAGAGAACUCUAUAUCCCAAGCUUACGCUAUGCCUUGCAAGUCACAAUUUAUCCUAAAGCUCCAAAUUCACCAUAUCUAUAGAUCACAAUAGAAUGCUUUGAAUGAUAACUAUUCUCCUGGCUCUUGAAAUAAAUGUCAUUUAUAAUACCUCAUUAGCAACAGGUAACAGAUUGAUAUUUCACAUUUAAUUAUGACAAAAGUAUAUACCGGCGAAUCAGGAUUACAAGAUUAUGGCAACAACUGCAGCAUACCUAACAGCGAUUUCGGGGGAGUAGGAAACAUACGCUGAGACAACACCAACACCACCAAUACCCAGGGUGAGGAUUUGUAGCUUCUGCUUCAGCUGUAAAAUUAUUACUGUUAUUGACAACUGCUUUACGCUUAAGGAACGAUUUAGAUUUGAUUAAUUUUUCGAUAGUAUAUAUUUAUAAGCUAUCAUAAAGAUGAUUGAAAAUCUGGAAAAUAAAGUUGAUUCAGACAACAUCUAACAGAGAACAGACCUUAAAAUAUUGCUCUCUUGACUGAGCUUCCAACACUUUGGGGUCCCCCCGCUCCCUCCUCGAUUCCCUUAGUAGGACAUCCUAAUUAAGAAAAAUAAACACGAAAGUUAUAUUCAUUGACUUCUAUCAAAAAAUUAAUGAAGUAAAAGAACUUUGUAUAUUACCAUGAUACAUAAGGUUAUCUUUCUUUCUUCCUUUUUUCGGGUUUUUUUUUUUCUGAAAUGAACAGUGAUACCAUGAUUCCCUCAGGAAUGCAUAAGGUGUCUAUAUAUUCAAACUCAUUUCCAUCAGAUUCACAAAUCAGGUACAAACUGUUAGACACAGAAUUUGUGUAAACAAGAUGAACACAAACAUGCUAAGUACAAGGUCAGCUCAUUUAUAAUCAAGACAAGCUUGAGUCAGACUCGAGCUGCUCACAAACAGCUCAUUAAAUGUUUGCCUCAAGAAUGAGAUCACUUUUUUUUUAUUUAUGUAGCUUUUAUCAUACAUAUAUUGCUAAACUGAAUUCAUCAUUUAGAAUUACAUUUGUAUAACAUUAAACAACAUACCGCAUGAGUAAUCAUAAACUAAGAAAUUUCUUUCAUACCAUUUAUAUAUGUAAUGUAUUAUAUAACUUUUAUCUCUUUAAGUUUUUCCAAGAUUAAGUAGAGCCAAGCAUGAGCAAGAUAAUCUAAGCUCAAGCUUCCCCCAUUUAAGAUCCAAUUUAGGGAGACCUUGUCAAGCUAAGUUUCAAGACAAACACGAGCUGUUUGUAGGCAGCAAACUGAAUUAACAACCCUAAUCAUGAGGCAACGAAACAUUAACUCGCUUCCUUAAAAGUUCUUAAACAGCACAAACUCCUUUAAGGCAGAACUGUUGAAAAGAUUUAUGGUAUGGCAAUCUGUUGUGAGACCACUUCUAAGGAUUUGAAAAUCCUCAGUAUAUAACAAAUCUGACAGUUGCAAAGCAAAGAAGCAUACGCAUAAAAAGCAAUCUACACUAUCCUCUUUAGUACAAUAUGGAAGGACAUAAAUAAUGAGAGCCUCAACUAGGUAAUUAUUAAGAAAGAUUCAAGGACAAUUAGUGAUCAGCAAAAUGAACAAGCACAUGCAACAUAAAAUGGUAGAACAAUUAGGAAAAAAAAAAUUGCAACUGCCGUAACAAAAUAUUCUGCUAAACUAAGGAUACGCUUGAUAAGGAAAAGAGAAAUGAAAACGACAUUUCAGGGAUGGUUUCAACUUACGCUACCACCAGUGGCUGCCUUAUUUGCCCUGUCCCAUUUCGCCUGUUCCCUUCUUGUAGGGACCAAUCUCCAUCUUGGUUUAGCGGCACUACUCUGAAUCAAAAAUGCAAUUAUGUAGCAUUGGCCACAACAUAAUUCAAUAAAAAAGAAAACUGCAACAAAAGCAAUUUCGAGCAAAUAUCUCAAUUUUACAGUCAACGACAUAAAGAACUUACUUCUGCAGCAGAAAGCCCAAGCCGUGCAGCCUCCACCUGCUGUUCCAACACCGGCUUGGACGGCGGUCUCAGUUCUUUACUCAAAUCAAUCUCCACGCUGUGAGAUCUCUUCCAAAUAAGUAAAUAAACAAAGAACCAAAAUAACUCCUUAUUAGCAGUAAAAGAGCAAACAAUGGGAAGAUAAAAGAACCUGUUGAGGCUCAUGGCUCGAUUGAGGCUAAGAAACCCCGAGUCCUCCUCCUUCUGACCAAAUUAACCAUCGAAUUAGAAAGUACAAAUUCUUGUAAGACUAUAGAAAACACUAAAAGAGAUUAUCAUACUGUACGAUGUUGAACUCCAAGAGUAUUUUCACGUUCUACAUUCUACUCCUUUUUGGGUCAACCUCUACAUUGAGCAUAAGUUUCUACAACAAUUCGUACGCCCUAUUUACAGAUGAUAGAAUAUUAAACAGAACUAAUCGUUUUCAUUAUUUAUAGUAUCCCUGAUCACUUGUAGACUUACAAAAAACUAGCUUUGAUAAGUAACCAGCCGUAAGGUCUCUUUAACUGAGGGAAAAUGAUAAAGAAAACAGCAGCAUUAAGCGAGCAUAAAGAGUUUGAAAUUCACAAAUUUCACAAUGAGUACAACUCUCUUCUCAGCUUUGCUACCAAGAUUAAUCAUAGAGAGUUCAAAAUCUCAAAGUUAUAUAUACCAAAUUAAGGAGUUUGUAAACUUGUCCAAUUAGCAGAAUAAAAUGCACGAUUUUUGUUGUCCACGAAUACAAUGACUAAACCACCUAAACGAAAACUCAAGUUACUGCGAACCAUCCCCAGUUCCAGCUAUAAUUUGUUCGCAGAGUGUAGGAACUCCCGUAAAGUUUAAAUUUCAUUGGAGAGUUUUUGUACAAAUAAAAGCACAAUGUCAACAACAUAAACAUCCCUCCCUACUGCACGGCACACUACUUUUGUUGAAAGCGCAGUCCUAGAAGUGCUAUUUGCAAGAGCAUCAUACUAAACUAUUUUCCUAAUAACUUUCCCUAUAGCAAAACUAGAAGUUCUACUUUUGGGCCUCAAAAUCACUUCUCCGCCACUUCUUGCUACAGCAAAAAGCUUCAAACUCUCAGACUUUUCCGAUUGUCAAACGCUCUUUUACAUACGACUACUGCGUAGUUUGGAAUUAUGGUAUCUAAAAGCACCAACUUUCAUUCUUGCAAAGGUCCAAAAAGCUGGAAGAGCACUGUAUUAAAAUGUUUGCCCCAGUAACUUCUCUCUGUGGUAGAAUCAGAAGCCUAGCCUCAGAACCGCAUCCCAGCUGCUUCUUGCUACAGCCAAAAGCUCUAGACUUUUACGAUUGUCGUUCGCGCUGCUACGCAUGACUACUACAAGUUUAUUAAAAUAUUUCCCCCAAUAAGACUCUUUCUGAUUGUCAAGGGCUCGCUCUAUUAUGUAUGUGAAUGUAGCUGGAAGCAGAAGCAGAAGAAGAAGCAGAAGAAGAAGAGGAAGAAGCGGGGAGUACCGCGAGGUGAGGAGGGUUAGGGUUGGGAGGGUCGUCGCGGAGGAGGCGGCGCAUGCGGGAGAGGAACUCCUUGUUCCAGAUGAAGUCGUCGGUGGCGGUGACGGGGUCCUCGUCGCCGCGGCCGCCCCAGUACUUGCGGAGCUUCGUGGUGGUGGGGGGGCCCCCGUACUCGCCCGGGGCCACCCCCGUCGACCACUUGAGCGCCUUCCCCCGCGGGAGCACCACGCGCGUCCUCCGCACCGGCGGCGCCGCCCCCGCGCCCGCGCCCGCGCCGUCUCCGGCGGAGGAGGAGGAGUCCGCGCGCGCGGGGACGCGGCGGGCUCCGGCGGAGGCGGCGGCGGCGCUUACCAAGGCCAUCGGCUGCGCGACGGCGACGGCGACGGCGACGGCGACGGCGCACCGCCGAGGUGGGGAUCGGGGUAUGGAAAAUAUCUACUGAGAGCGGAGAGAGAGAGAGAGAGAGAGAGAGAGAGAGAGAGAGGGGCGCUAAAAUGUAGGAUGGAAGCAAGAUCGAAGUGUCUCGUCUCAGCUCCACUCGCUCCUUCGCCUUCGAUCACUUCAAAUUUUAUUUCUUUACUUUUUUAUUUAUUUAUUUUUAUCAAUGCUACGUAUACAUUUUUUUUUUUCGGACUUUUUUAUAAAAUGACCCUAAAAAAUUUUAAAAUUUGGAAAAUAACUUUAUCAAAAUUUUAUUUAAAAAAAUAAUCGUUCUUUCGCCACGUAGGCGCCACGUCGAAAUUUUACUAUAAAGACGGUUAAUGAUUCACCACUUUCACAUAUAUAUAAUGAAAGCCGUGAAUCAUUCACCGCCUUUAUAAUAUAUAUAUAUAGACGGUGAAUGAUUCACCGCCUUUAUAGUAAAAAUCCUACGUGGCGAAAAGAUGGUUAGUUUUUCAAAUAAAAUUCACAGAUAAAACGGUGAAUCGAUUCAUUCACCGUCUUCACAUAUAUAUAUAUAAUGAAGGCGAUGAAUGAAUCACAUAUAUAUUAUGAAAACGGUGAANAUAUAUAUAUGAAAGCAGUGAAUGAUUUACCGUCUUUAGUGCAAAAUAUUUCAAAUUAAUUAAAAUUUGUCUAAGUUCUGAAGUGCAACACAGAUAAAACGGUGAAUCGAUUCAUUCACCGUCUUCACAUAUAUAUAUAUAAUGAAGGCGAUGAAUGAAUCACAUAUAUAUUAUGAAAACGGUGAAUCAUUCACCACCUUCAUUAUAUAUAUGUGAAGGCGGUGAAUCAUUCACCGUCUUUAUAGUAAAAUUCCGACGUAAUGCCCAUGUGGGGAAAGAAGAGUUGGUUUUUUAAAUAAAAUUUUGACAGAAUUGUUUUGACAAUUUUGAAUUUUUAGAGGAUAAUUUUAUAAAAAAGCUCCUUUUUUCCCGUCGUAUGAUAUACACUACAUCAACUCUAACGUGAAAAUUUUUUUAGGGUAAAUUUUAAAUACCAUUCUAUAAUUUUGUAUUUUCUCACUUUAUUACUCUAUGAUUUGAACUAUAUCAAGUUAGUAUCCUGUGGUUUCAUUUUUAUCUUUUCGUCAGCUUUUUCGUUGAUAUUUCGUUAAAUUAUAUAUAUAAAAUUUUAGAUACCCCACCUAAUUUUAUCGAUAUUCACUUUAGACGCUUUAGUUUUAACUUUAUCACUAAUUUAAUAAAAAAAAUUAGUAAAAUAAAUAAUAAAAAGAAAAAAAAUGAAACCACAUGGUACUAAAUUAAUACACUUUAAACCGCAAGGCCUUAAAGUGAGAAAGUGUAAAACCACAGGGUGGUAUUUGAAGUUUUUCCUUUUUUUUUUUUUUGUAUUUGCAUAGAUAUGACUAGUAAAAAUUAUACUAUCCUAAAUAAAAAAGAUGGGAUGUAUAUUAUACGCCUUUUUUGGAGUUUACGAAUAGCUUUUAUUUUUUGGUAUAAUUGAACCAUUUGUUUCCCAUAUUUUAAAAUAUUUUAUUUUUGUUUUUCAACCUAUUUUGUUUUAAUCAAAUCUCCAAUUUUUUAAAUUUAUUACAGUAAAAUUUCAGCUGCUAAAAUAGCCGUUUAAGUUUGAUAAAAUUUACAUUAUUAGGUUAGCUCUAGUUCGCCACCCAGCACCAGCAGCUUUUUUACAAUUUGAAGACCAAUGGUGCAAUUAAAAUUUAAUUUAAAAUUAAAAGUUUGAAUUUGAAUUUAAAAUUAUAAUUUUGAUUUAAAUAAAUUAGAAAUUAGAAUUAGGAUUCAGAUUAUUAGUUUGACUUUUAAAUUGAAUUUGGAAUUUGAUUUCAAAUUUUAAAAUUAAUUUUGAUAUUCGAAAUCAAUAUUGACUCUAAAUUUGAAUUCAAACACAAAAUCUAAACUUAAAUUUACAAUUUAAACUGAAAUUUUAAAUCUAAGUUUGAAUUUACAAUCAAGUGUAAAAUCUAAAUUUAAAUUUACAAUUUGAACCCAAAAUCACAUUACGUUUGAAAUUUAAAUCCAAAAAGGAUUUAAAUAUAAAAUUCAAAUACAAUAUCAUAAUAAAAUUAAAAUUUAAAAUUUACUUCAAAAUAUAAAGUAAAUUUAAAAUUUUAAUUUAAAAAUAUGAAUUUAAAUUUAAAUUUAGAUUUAAAUUUAAAUAAUAUAAUUAACCGGCAUUGCAAGUGCUUAGCUGACACUGAUAUGACACUGCCAUAACGCAUUCUCUCAAAAUUAACAUAUAUUUUAAUGACUUGCACUUAAUUACAAUAAAACGAAAAAGGUUGAAAACUUCAUUGUAUAUUUUUUUUUUUUAAAAAAAAAAACUCUUGAGGCAAGUUUUUUAAAAAAAUUGGAAAAAGGGGGGAGACCAACACUGCUAUUAACUCUUCUUCUUUUUUUUUUUGUGCGAAUUGCACUGUUGAUCCUUUUAGUGUACAUCUUCUGUACUUUCAAAAGUACUGAGGCUUCUGUAUUUAUGAAUAGUUUUUUAUAAUAGGAGAUUUAAUUCCACGAUCGGCUAUAUAAUCUACGUUAUUGAAACUAUUUAGAAAUCAAAUUUCAUAAUUUAUCGACAUCAUUUAUCAAGUGAUCAAAAAGUCUUAAAAAUGACUAUUUUAACGAUUGAUGUGGCAUGUUUUUAAUUUCAACGGUUUAAAUAAUCCAAAUUGUAUGAAAAUUUAAUAAAAAAUUCUACUUAAUAUCAAUAAUAAGAUCAAUACUUCUGAGUUGAAAUUUGAGUUUUUUAUCAUUAUCUUUUAUGAUAUUUUUAUUUUCAGCCGUUCAUUUUGCGAUUACUCAGUCACUAGGCAAUGAAAUUAUGAAAUUUGAUUUCUAAAUAGUUCCAAUAGCGUAAAUCAUGUCUAAUAGAACUGAUCGCCGAAUCGGAUGUCCCAGAAUCGACAAUAAUUUAUAAACAUAAAGACUUUCAUACUUUCGAAAGUAUAGGAGCCUAACUCUCUAAUUUACUAUAAUUUUGGAGCCUAGCUCUCUAAAAUAAGUGAACCAAAUAUGUCCUAAUUUUUCGCUAAACUUUAGUUCAACGAAAAUUAUUUUUAAUUGAAAAAUUAUUUAUGGGCAAACAAAUAGGAAUGGUAAGGUAAAAUUUUGUUCAUUGGGCUACAAUCUUAACCCAAAAACAGGUUCAAAAUCUCAUUAAGCCAAGGCCCGAUUAAGCCCGAUUAAGUAUAUUCGAACCUAAAACCCGAACCCGACCCGAGAAUGAUCACCCCCCAUAGGUAAAACAUUGGCUCCCCAUAAAAUUAAAUUUAUAAUUUAAAUUCAAAACAUAAAAUUAAAUAUUAAAAAAUCACCAAAGUAUUGAAAUGAUAACGCAAAAUUUUAAGUAUAUAUUUUUUUAAAAAAAAUUAAAAUUUAAAAUUGAGUGGACAAUUCAAAAUAUAAAACUAAUUUUUGAUUUGAUUCAAAUUCAAACUUACAACUAGAUUCAAAUUUAAAUUUAAAUUUUAGAUUAAAUUCGAAAAACUUGAUUAAAUUUAUAUUUUAAUUUAAUUUCUAGAUCAAAAUCUAGAAUUCUAAGUUUAAAUUUAUAUUUUAAUUAAAAAAAUUAAAGUCAAAAAGUUAAAUUUUAUUUUAAAUAAAAAUUUAAAAUGUAACUGAGAUAUUUUUAUAAACUGUAUUGUUUCCGCCUGAAUUCAACUUCCAGUCUAGCCUUUUAAGCCGGAUUGAAAAAAAGAGUGAUUGGGGGAUUCCUAUUUAUCCGGAAAUUGGAAUCGAAAUAAAACUCUCAUAUACUAAACACCUACAAACAGAUUAGGUUAUUCCGAUUUCGAUUCUUGGGUUAAAAAGGAGUGAACCAAGCACACCCUGAAUGUUAAUCUAACGGCCUUACCGGCUUGAACAGAGUCUUUAUCGAAGUACUAUUUAAAUAGAGUUGUUUAAAAAAAUAAAAAUAUUUUUUAGUAAAUAAAAAUAACUAUCAUUUUUUUGGAUCUGACUAUCAAAUCUUUAAAAAAAAAAUCUAAUUUUGCUAUCUAAGCUUUUAACUCAUUUGAUUUGAGCCAUAUAGUAACUUUUAACUUCAAAUUUUGAAUGUAUUUUUUUUUCUCAUUUAAUUAAUAUACUUUAUUCCAAUUAGGUAACUAUAAAUUUAUAAAGCACAAAAUUAGUUUAAAUUUUGUAUCAGAAGAGCCAUAGAAUCACUGAGUCAAAUAAAUUAAAAGAUUGAGUAUAAAAAAAUCAAAAUUUUGAAAUAUUUGAAUGGUCCAAUCAAAAUGAUCUAUAGUACGGAUUAAUUUUAUAUAUUUUUAUUGUUUUAAUUUAAUAAUAUACUUGAGGACAUAUAUUUUUCUUUUUUAUCCAAAAGUGUGAGCCCUAUUUUGGAGCUCUAAAAUUUAUUUUUGCUUUUCAACAAACACUAAGUAAAUACUAAACAUAUUUGGUUGAUCUUGUCAAAUUAAUAUAAUAUAUUGUUUACAUUUCUAGAAGAAGCGUUACGAGGCUGUUUGGUCUAAAUUCUGAAAAAGUGAUUUUUACAGUGAAAAAUUGAUUUUGAUAAAAAAAUAUAAAUUGUUUGGCUGAGUUUAGCAAGAAAGUAAUUUUCUUUAACUGAUUUUAUAAAGUUAUUUGGCAAAAUUAUUUUGUUGUUCACAAAUAAUACAUUUUUUUAACUGAAUUUCAAUUUAAAAUGUAACUUCAAAAUUUGAUAAUGGAAAGUGAUCAUUUGUCCAUGGAAACUCAAAAUUUGUUCUCAUAAAGUGAUUUUUCAAGUUAAAAAUGACUAUCAGUUGAACUGAAAUUAGGACAAUUUUUUUUUUCAUCUUUGUUUGUUGAUAGGAAGUCAAUGGGUUUGGAAAUAUUAUAAUUAUUAUCCCAUUUUUUAUUUUAUUAAAAAGCUUCACAAUAACACAUAAAAAAAAGGAAAAUAAUUAAAUAAUUAAUAUUUUAUUAUUUUUUAUUUUUUUCUAAUUGAUUUCGAUAUUACUCGAGAUCAAGUCCAACACGAAUAAAAUAAAUUAAAUAAUAAAAAUAAGUAUUUACACUGAAAUUUAGCUUUUUUCUUUUCAUCUUCCGGUGAAACAAACAUGCUAAGCAAUAGUACUCACUUAUCUGAAAAGCGUUCUUCUCACCUGUCAACAUAAAUAUAAAAGACAUAAUAAUAAAUAUUCGUUCUCAUCCAUUCCACGACCACGUGGCAUUUUUUUCUUUUUUUUUUUGGGUUAAUUUCAUGCAGAUCCCUGCAAAUAUAAUGAAUGACAAAUAUAUUCCUACAAAGUUUAACUUUUAUAUAUUGUUUCUGCAAAAAUUCUGAUAUUUUCAAAUAUAUUCUUUUGAUUUAUUAUUGUUAGCAAACUGUUUAUAUUUUUAAUUUUGCCAUCAUAAAUAUAUCCUCAAAAAAUCAUAACAGUAUAAUAUAAAGGAAUAAAAAUGUAAAAAACUAAUCAGAUUUAAGUAUUUAACAUAUGGAUAACAAAAUUUUUCUAACGAAUUCUAACAGUAGGAACAUAUUUGAAAAUAUCAGGAUAUUUUUAAGAAUAAUAUAUAAAAUUUAAACUUUAUAGGAAUAUAUUUAAUAUUUUACUAUAUUUGUAGGGACACGUAUGAAAUUAUUAUUAUUUUUUUUUUACAAAGAGUGAGAGCCGAAUCUUUUAAUGUAACGCUUACACUAAAGAGAUUCGUUUCGCUUUUGUUAUUUGAGAUUCCUCGUGGGGCCCGAAAUUUCCACCAAUGGCCAAUCGCCACGUCAGUGUCUCUUUUCCCACCGAAAGUUCCCAAUAUAUAGACGUUAAAGCAAAGACACAGGAUCCCGCAAAUAUAUCGCCUCAAACAGCAAACACCCGUUUCUCUGACGUGGACCCGUAGAAAACUGACACGUCAUAGGUACUGUGGGCCCGCGAUCUAUUUAGUAAAUUGCUGUUUAAUCAAAAUCCGAUAAUCAACUGUAAUUGAUUUUAUGAAAAGUAGGUCUCCAAAAUUUCUAUUUUUUCAAUUUGUAAAUCUUUUAAAUAUUAUAGAAAUAUCUCACAUGGUGUUUUUAGCUGUGUCUAAUUUAUCUGGUCAUUUGUAUUUACCAAUAAUCUGACUAUAAAUUAUUUUUAUUAUUUUUUUAGUUGAAAAUUAUAUUCACAAAUUUUUAUCACUUUUAUAUGUUAUAAUAAGAUUUUUUCUGAUGUACAUACAUACUAGUCUAAUCAAUUUUUUCUCUUUUUUUUCAAAUACAAACCCUAAUAGUGUUUUUUUUUUUUUUAAAUGUAAAGGCAUAAGAUAUUCGCCCUUAUAUAUAUUAUAUAUAUAUAUAUAUAUAUAUAUAUAUAUAUAUAUAUAUAUAUAUAUAUAUAUAUAUAUAUAUAUAUAUAUAUAUAUAUAUAUAUAUAUAUAUAUAUAGUAUAGAGUACUAAUGGCUACUACUAUCUAUUAAUAGGAUAGUAGCACUGUUCUAUCAAAUUGUUCUUGAUGAUCGAGAUUCCGAAUCGAUGAUCGAAGCGUUGAAGUUGAUCUAAAGUAUUUGAAAUAUUUAGAAACUAAAUUUUAUAAAUUUUAAAAUUAUUUAAUGGUGAUCAAAGUGUCGUAAAAUCGACAAUUUUAUUACUGUUCUAUAUGAGUCGUUUGCUUAUUUAACGGUAUAUGAGUAAUCCAAUUGCAUGAAUUUUGAUAAAAAAUUUUUAUACUAUUUAGAUAAUGUUUGAUAGUUCUGAUUAUGAAUCAAGAAAUCUAACCUCCAUUUUAAAAGGUUAUUCAUUUAUUACCGUUUUAGAUAAUGUUUGAUAAUUCUGAUUAUAAUUAGAAAGUCUAACCUCUAUUUUAAGAAGGUUAUUCAUUUAUGACCGUUUAUUUUUCAACUUUUAAGAUGAACUUGAUAAUAAUUUCAAAUUAUUAUAAAAUUGGUUUCUAAAUAUUUCUAAUUGUGUAGAUCAAUUUCAACGUGCGAUUAUCAUUUGUUGAGUGUCGAUUAUUCAAAAGAUUUGAUAGGACAACGUCUCAAUCCUAGUUAUAAUAGAUAGUACCGGGAUUCUAUAUAUAUAUAUAUAUAUAUAUAUAUAUAUAUAUAUAUAUAUAUAUAUAUUGCGUGUAUGCGUGGUAUUUUUCAAAUAGAAAUCUACUUUAUUUUCGUGCAAACUAUUGUAUUUCUAGCUCAAUGCCAGAUUUAGAAAAUUUUUCAUAGAAGAGUCAAAUAUAAAAUAAAAAAACAAAUAUAAAAAAAUUUAAUUGAUGCUUAUUUUUACUUGAAAUUCAAAUUUAUAAUAUUUACAAAGGUGUCACAUGGGAGCAAAAAGACGGUCUUUAUUUAUUAAAAUAAAAUGAAAUCAAUUAGUCAACAAAGUGGAGCUAAUUAUUAUAUAAUAGAUUUCAAUUUUAAAGAUAUAGGGAGGUUUUUUUAGGGAGGAGCUAUAGUGGGGCUCCACUCCAACCAAUAUAGAUCCGCCUUUGCCUGGCCAUUGCUCUAACUCCGUCUAAUUUAGAUAUAGUUUGAAAUGCAGCAGUUGGGUCUCCAACACUAGAUCUAACUGUACUAUAUAAUUGCAAGGGUUAAUUGCAUAAUUAAAGUUUUUUAUAAAUAUAUCGAAUAACAAAUAUAUUUCUGUACAAUUUAAUUUUUUAUAUUUUAUUUUUACAAAAGUUCAAUAAUAUUCAUAUUUGCUCUUCUGGUUUGUUAUCGUUGGAGCAUAUUUAUAUUUUUAACAGCAGUUAAGUAAAAUGACAUUUUUACCUUUACAAAUAUAUCUCUCCGGAAGCCCUAAUUAUGUAAAAAUGUCCUUCCAAAAAGUAUUAUACCCAAUAAGAUAAGAGGAAUAAAAAUGUCAAUUUAACUCAUUCGCUAAUCAUGCAAGGUUAAGUAUUUUACUUAUAGUUAAUAAUGUUUCUAACGGAUCCUAACAGUCAGGGUAUAUUUGAAAACGGUAAGAUUUUUGUAGGAAUAAAAAUAAAAAGUUAAACUUUGUAGGAAUACAUCUACUAUUUAAUAUAUUUGCAGCGAGCCGCAUGCAUGCAAUUAACCCUAAAUACAAUUGCGACAAAUGAAAUAAAUCUCUUAAAUUUAUAUACAAUUCUUCUUAUAAUACCGCGUGAAAUGUAAGCAACCAAACAGCACCCCAAAUGCAGUAGACUCAACUUCUCACACUCCACAUUCUUUUUUGGAUAAACUUCAAAUAUCACCCCUGUAGUUUCACACUCUCUCACUUUAGUAUCCUAUAGUUUAAAGUGUAUUAAGUCAGUGUCAUGUGGUUUUAUGUUUAUCUUUUCGUCGGCUUCUCCGUUCAUAUUUCGUUAAAUUAUAUAAAAAAAUUCAGAUAGUCCACUUAGCUUUAUCGAAUAUUCACUUUAGUACCCUUUAGUUUUAAGUUUGUUACUGAUUUAACAAAAAAAAAUUAAAUCAAUAAUAAAAAGAUAAAAAUAAAAUCACAGGACACUAAAUUGAUACACUUUAAACCAUAUGAUACUAAAGUGAGAAGGUGUGAAACCAAACACAGGAGUGGUAUUUAAAGUUUUUUCUUAAAAAAAAAAAAAACUAGGCACGUGGCACCUUCUCAUUGGCUACACAGUUUCUUAAAGCGGGAGAUGAAUGUUGAGAUCGACCGUUAGAAGUCGGCGGGAAUUAUUAGUUUUGUAUUAAAGUCGUCGCCGUAUUUCCCGGUUUCAUUCCCCUAUAAUUACUCUUUAUUUUCCUCUCUCUCUUUCUUUCUCUCUCUCUCUCUAUAUAUAUAUAUACAUGUGUAGUGUAUAGCAUGGCACAUAUAUAACAAAAUUACUACUACUCAUCAAUAGAAGAGUAACACUACUGAGGAAGUGAUAUUAGAAAGAGUAGUUGAUAACAUAAUAAGAUGACGUCGGUGAGUUUCUUUAGUUUGUAGGAUCAACAAUUUGCUUCUUGAAUAGUAUGAGUUUAGAUUACAAACUUUUGUUUUCUCUUCUUUCCUCUUAUUUUCUCCUCGCGUAGAUCGUCGAGAUUUGCGUUCAUAUGGACUGCGCCGGAUGCGAGAGCAAGAUACGGAAGGCGAUUCGGAAGCUCGAAGGUCAGCAUAUAAAAACCGAGGAUUCGGUUCCUACGCUUUUAAACCUUGUGAUAAUUAAAGAAAUAUUUGCAUAUUUAGUUACCUCUCUAAGUUUUAAAAUAUCUUAUGUACUCCUGCAAACUUUAAAACUCGUAAAUAUCUUUCUGAACCGGCCAAAAGUUAUCAUAUUUUAGUAUUAUAAUCAUUUUGCCUAACAAGCUCUAUCACUUUCAUUAUUAGUAAAUUAGGGUUAUUUGAUCUACUUAAGUUCCUUCUAGAAUGUCUUUAAUUACUACAUUUCUUAAGAGUGAUGAAGUGGAGAAGGAAAAAAAAGAAAGUCUUUUUGAGUAAACUAUGGUUCCUAUUCACUAGCUAAGAAAUAAAUCUCUAACUUUUUUUAAAAAAUAUACAUAACUAUUUAUAAUAAUCUAAAGUUCGGAGAGAUAGAUAUAUAAAAUAUUCUAAGGGAAAAUUUAUAUAUUUCAAUUGUCCCUUUAUGUUUUUGUAGCUUAUAUUUUGAUUGCCAAAAAUUUUUGACACUAUAUAUAUGAGUUAAAUUUUUGCCCGAUUGUUAGACACUAGCAAUGCUUAUUUAUAAUAUUCUAAAGUUAGGUUAUUUUAUCAAAAUUUAGGUUAAAUUAUAAAAAAAAUCUCUUACACUUUAGUGCCUGUCCCCCUCCAUUAAAAAUUGCAUCAAUUAAUUAUCCUUCUAUAUUUUAUCAUUAUCUCAAAUAUGCUGAGCUAUUUAGAAUAAUUGUUAAAUUCAACUAUAAAACUUUGUAAAAAUAAGUUUAUACAUAUAUAAAGUUAUCUAAGAGCAACGCACUAGAGUCAUACGAAUUGAAUAAAUUGUUUAAUAAACUAUUAAUUCUGAUAGUAUUAGCAAAAUAAACAGGAGUGGAUUCUGUGGAGAUAGACAUGGGGCAACAGAAGGUCACGGUCACCGGAUGGAUCGACCAGAAGAAGGUGCUCAAGGCCGUCAGAAAGACCGGGAGGCGGGCGGUGUUUUGGCCGUACCCUUACAUCGGGGAUCAGUUCACGCCGCAACAGUACUAUCAUCGCGAUCACCAUCCAGCUCUAGCUCGAAGCUACGUCGCGAGCCCCUCCUCCUCCUCCUCCUCCUCCUCCUACAACUACUACAACCACGGCUACGACGACGAUUCCCACAUGUAUGGGUACCACAAUUCGCCUGCGCACGCAGGGAUUGUUGGCGAGAGGGCCAGCGAUGUGUUUAGCGAUGAGAACGCGCACGGAUGUUCUAUUAUGUAAUAGAUAUACGAUCACAAGUAGUUUGCGAUGCUUGUUGAACCGUGAUUUUAUAUUUUAGAUUAUGAGAUAUGACAAAUGAACGAUUCGAAUGCACUUUGUAUCUAUGUAAGUAUAUGAAUAUUUUAUUGGGAAUAUAUAUAUAUUUUUUAACUUCACACUCGUAGUAAGUUAUAAGGUGUAUGAUUGGAUAUUUGCAAUAGUGUAUCAUAUUCGGCCUUCAAAUUAAGAUAAAUCGUUUUCUAGAUUAAAUGCCCUAACCUAUAAGGCUAUAAUAAAUGAAAAAUCUACAUAAGAUCCGUUUUUUUUUUUUUCAACAAAAAAACCAAUCGUCAUGGUAGUAAUAUAAUUUUUUUUGAAAACAAAAUAAAAUCAUAGAAUAUAAUUAAGUAUAAGUUUUGAGUCACGAGAUGGCAAAGUAAAAAUGUGCUAUACCAUAGAAUGGUUAAGUUCCACUUUUUGAACCACGGGGUACGCUCUACCAUUAUGGGGGCAAAUUGAAGUUUAUCUUUUUUUAUUGCUUAUCUUUAAAUUCUAAACUAUAUAUAUAUAUUUUCAAUUUAACCCUUUAAAAAUUUAUAAUUUGCCAAAUAACCUUGUAAAAAAUAUAUUUGGCCUCUAUUUUGUCCAACUUCAGGAUGGAAGAACAAUUAGAAGACGACCAAUUGUUUACCGUCUUUAAUUUAGAAGAUUGUGAAUCAUACCGUCUUUUCUUUAAAAAAAAUGGUGAAUGAUUUACCAUUUCUUCCCAUUUUUUAUAUAUAAUCUUAACAAUUGCAUAAAAUUUUUGAUAAAUCACAUAUAAUCUUAACAACCUAAAAUAUCAUAACAAUUUAUCUACACAAUUCUAACCACAAAAAAAAAUUCUAAUAAUCUCCGUACAAUUUUAACAACCUUACAAAAAUUUUUACAACUUAUAAAAAAAAAAAGUGAUAGUAAUAUAAACAUGGUGAAUGAUUGACUAGUUUCUAAAGGCGGUGGACGAUUCACCGUAUGACUUUACCGGAUUCCAGGGCCUCCUAGAACUAUCCGAUAUAUAUAUAUAUAUAUAUAUAUAUAUAUUUUUGGAAAAAUAGGUAGCAUGCUACCCGUUUCAUUUAUUUCAUUUAGAAAUAAACUUAGCUGGAAAUGUGAAUCAAUUAGGAUUCGAACUUGAGUCUCGGGUACCAACCACCGAGCCAUUUGCCAGUUGCUCUAGGGACGGUCGGUAACUAUCCAAUAUAUUAAAUAGGGAUAAUAUCUAGUAUGUUCUUUAAAAUUUUAAAAAUAUUUUAUUUAUUUUUAGACGAGAAAAAUAUUUUUGUUGAUUUAAAGAAAAAAUUCUUCAAAUAUUUUUAUUUCCACUAGGGUUUACUAAUGAGAUUGAAUUUUAGAAAAGUAUUUUUCUUAAUUUCAACUACUCUUGGAAUCGAUUGGUCAUUAUUGAAGACCGAGAUGUUGAGAACUCACACUUGACAAGAAUUUUAAGAGUUGUUUGGAUGUAUAUAAUUGCAUAUCCAACUUCAUUUAGAACCAAUUUCACUAUUUGAAUUACUAUACUAGCGUUCAGUUAUAGCGGGUGGUAGUGCAGCAAUUGAGAAAUUAAUUAAUUUUAGAAGAGUUUUAAGUAAGAGAUAACUCUAACGAUGCUAUAAACAAGAAAGUUUUUUUUUUUUUCUUCUUUUACAUUUGAGUAAUUGCACCACCUUAUAUAUAAAGUUAUAAAUUUGUAAAAAUGAUUCUCAAUUGCACGGUGCCUUUUAACCAAAUUAUUUGUUAACUACAAUGCCUUUUUUACUGCAUACAUCUCUAGCUGUACUGUGUUAAUAAUUAUAUAUUCAAUCAAAGGGCCCUUUAAUCCCCCACUCUAAAACUUACAUUUGGUAUUUUGUUUAAUUUGAGAGAGAGAGAGAGAGAGAGAGCCAAUUAAGUUGCUGUGGUAUUCCUGGUGUACAGUUGUUGAGACUUGUCGAUAGCUCUGGAGAGUGUCGGGACAAGUCCGAGUCGUGUUGGCGCGAAAUAGACGUAAAACACACUCAGCGGGGACGUGAGAGUAGGACUUAGUUUUGAAAAUCUGCAAAUAGCAGAUUUUCUGCUUGUUGUACCGGUACGACUAUCAAGACGUACUGGUACACUUUCUGUACCGGUACAACCAGCAGGGGCGUACCGGUACACUUCGUCAGGAUUUUACGCAGCUGCUCUCGGGUUGCCAUUUGUACCGGUACAACUGUCCGUGUACCAGUACACCAGGGUAGGUAAGGGGCUUUUUGGUAAUUCUCUUGCCUUGAUUGUAUCUCCAUCCCUUCUCCCCCCUAUAUAGGAUAGAGAGAACAGAGAGGAGAUGUUUAUAGUGCUCUCUCUCUUCUCCUUGUGCUCGACCGUACGUGGUGGAGGAGCUCGGUUGGAGUUCGGGUGUCGUCGACGUCGCGCCGCGGUGCCGUUCGAACGUGUCUUCGUCGUCGUAGCAUCGCGAGGAGGCCGGGCGAGGGUGCGAUUCCGCCGUUCUCGACGUCGCGCCGGAUUGGGAUUAGCUUUUGAGGUGGGUUAAUCGUCGGUUAUCUUUUAAGUAUAUAGAUUGUCGACAUAUGUUGUUAUAUUGUUUCGUUGAUAGAAAUUGCUCGAUUCAUGAAUUUUGGCAUGUUUAACUGUAGAAUCUGAACUGGAGCUUAGUUCUGUGACUAAGUGUUUAUACAUGUUGGACUUGGAUAUGAAUUAGGAGAAAACCUGCGAUUUGAACCUGUCACAUGCUUAAACUAUCUGAUUUAGCUCUAGGAGCCGUUGUUAUUCUGUAUCACCGCAGUAUCAGCAUUAUGGAUACCCCAGGUAGUUUAGAUAGCUGUUACGCUCGUGCUGGGAUGCCGAGUGUAUUUUUACAGUAGUGUUCAGACUGUUCCUGACUGUUGGGUGCCGUCGGGGUUGACGGUGGACCCAUAUCGCUGUUUUGGGCGUCAGAUUAUGCUGAGGGCACGUGACCUGUUGGUUGUUAGACCAGUUGGACCAUGUUACUUAACUUUGGCUUGUGAGAGCCUGAUUGAGCUUGACAGAGAUACGCUGCAUACUCAGUUGGGUAGCUCCCAUGAGUGCCACUCCGGAGACGGGCACUGUGCUUUCACGUUGGUGUCGUUCGUGCAGGUUGGACUUGCUCUCCACGGAUUGCUUAGAGUGGAGGUAGCUGUAUAGUCGCAACCGGGCGGGACAGGUGUGUUCACAGUCCCAGGGACGGGUAGGCUUACAGUCCCAGUUCGAUUGGGUCAGAAUUGUCACUUCCUACAGUUGGUUAGUGUAGAGCAUGAUAGUGUAGUGUCUUGUAGCUGUAGAGUUUCUUCUAGCAUUUCAUACUAUUCUUUCUCCCUUCUGUAGACUUAGUGGGUGGACCGACGUUGUUGAGGGCGGUACCUACUGAGGACUACUUAUGUUUACAGUAGUUCUCACACUCAGUUGUUACCACUGUUUUUGCAGAGCCUUCGGUUCCGGCUGUUGCAUCUUCUGAGGCAGAUCGUGGCAAGGGCGUUGCGAGCUAGAGCCCUACCCGACGAGUCGCCGAGCUAGAGAAUUACCCGCUUCUAGUAGUGUGGUUUUUGAGUUCAUAUACAUACCUUUACUGUAUCUCGCUGGGCGAGUUUUUGUGUACUGGAUGUUGUAUGUAUAGUGAACUGUCUUUUUCUACCUGGAUAUCUUUGUCUUCUUGCAGCUCUAUACUACUGGUUGUAGUAUUGUAUGUUAUACAGGUACAGCUACGCUUCGUAUACAGGAAAAUUUUUUUUGUAUACGGCGGAUUUGUCAGUGUGCCCGGAGAACGUGCAAUUCGGGGCGUGACAGUUGCCAUAACAAGGAAAAAUUUAGUGAGAAGAGAUUAUGACUACUGCAAAGGUGAUCAUUCUUUUGUUCCCUAGCCUCUUUAGUGCAGGAAAUACCAGGUACAAGCAUAUGUUCUUCAUUGUUUGUUUGUCCAUUUGUCCACCCACACUAAAAAUUUGAGCUAGAUAAGCAAGUGGACAUCAAUUAGGAAAAUGCUCUCUCUCUCUAUACAUAUAUACUAUAGAGAGAGAGAAUUUUGCUAGGCUACUAUCAGCAGUAAAUUGAUCGAUUUAUUUUCAAUGAUAGAAUUUUAAAUCAAAUUGACGAUUGGCAUUAUUGAAUAUAAUCUAGACUAUCUAAAUUAUCUAGAAAUCAAAUUUCACACUUUUUCAUCAUUACUAACUGGUGGGUUAUUUGGACAAACAGAAACUCGACUAUUUUUUGAGCCACACCCCACAACGCUGCCCGAUCAAUUGAGCGCGUCAGACUACUGAAGCGUGACUGGACCUUACUUCAUUGCGCGAUCUUCCCCAUCCUAUCUCCACCUCUCUCUCUUUAUUUUUUUUACUCUUUACUUUCUAAUGCUUCGUUCUUUUUACCAUUCUUAAUUGUUUUUCGGUCUCGGAGGCCGCGGUUGCCUCCACUCUUUAUACUUAAUUUAUCUUACUUUAUGAAUGAAGUAGAUAACUUUCUAUCUAUUUUUCAAAAAAAAGAAAAGCAACACAU